UUUUUUUUUUAUGUUUAAGGGGCUCUGUAAUACAUUCGGAAGGGCAAACACAGGGUGUACGUCGUCCUCCACGCAUGCGGCCGGGUGGCCAUGGACGUGGUCGGCUCACGGCAACAUAUAACCCGCUGGCCCCGGCGCCUCGAUCGGUGCACGGAGAGGAACGGCUGCUCCUUUUCGUCGUCGCCUUGUUGUCUUGACUGACUCUCGGUGCCCCACUGCCAUUGCGCCGUACGGUACGGUAGUAUAUAUGCACACCCAGGUCCUUCCUGGCCACACAACGCAUACACACAUAGAGGUCCCGCUGCUUUCUCAACUCCCGAUCUUCAGGGUACUAUAGCCGCUUACGAUGGGCUUUCUCGGAGCCGGCAUGGCGACGGCGGCGGCGACGGAGGAGGACACGACGCGGUUGUGCGACCUCCCGGAGGCGUGCGUGGCGUACGUGCUCGCGCUCACCUCCCCGCGGGACGCGUGCCGCUGCGCCGCCGUGUCGCCCUGCUUCCGCGACGCGGCCGAGUCGGACGUCGUCUGGGCGCGCUUCCUCCCGCCGGACUACCGCGCCAUCCUCCAGCUGCACCAGGCGCCGGCGCGGAGCCUCCCUCUCUCGCGCUCCGGCUCCACGGCGGGGGCGGCGUCGCCGUCGGGCUCGAGCAAGAAGGAGGCCUUCCUCGGGCUCACCGACGCGGCCGUGCUGGUGGACGGCGGCGGCAUGGCGGUGUGGCUGGCCAGGGGGAGCGGGGCCAAGUGCGUGGCGCUGUCGGCGAGGAGGCUCAGCCUGCCGUGGGAGGACGGCGAGUUCAGCUGGAGGUGGACGCCCCACCGGCUCUCCAGGUACGUACAAACAUCCACGUCCAUCCUUGUUAGAUUCUGCUCCUUUCUCCUCACUACUCCCGAUCUACGAACUCGAUUGCCAUCUUUAACUUUAAUUGGUUGCUAAUCUACUACUAGUAGAACACAAACACACCAAUUACUAGUCUACCAUGCAUGCCUGAAUCUUCUCUUGUGUCGUUAUGCCUAUUUCAUUUCCUUCAAACCAGGCUGCAGCCAAGUCCAACGGUGAGACUUGUUCGGAAAUUCACGUCCACAAACUAUGCCAUCAUCUUAAAAAGAAACUAUGCAAUCGUUUUCUCCGACAGCGUCGUAGAAGGCAGAAAUCACCGUUGCCGGGCAGGAUUAAUUAAGCAAGUCCAUGCGCGUGCGUGUGGCUACGAUCUACUUACAAAGUCAACUCCACAGGCCACCGCACCCGACGACUCCCCAAAUAAUUUGGCAUCCAUCACCAGUUGAUCACUCGUCAACUUGCGCACGUCGCCGUGGACGAAUUUUUUUUCCAGAGCUUUGCGUGUUGAUUCAUUAAGUUAGGGAAGAAACAGUUACAAAGAUUUUUAAUGGUACAAACUCAGAGUCAGAGCCACCAAUACCACCGAUACACUAUUCAUUGGUAAUCGUAUCCUAGCUGUGUGCAUCACAUGAUCGACGUGGAUCGUUGCCGGCAAGUUUGCCAUUCUAUUAUAAGAUUAUUAAAUUGUGAUACUACCAGUAGUGUCCUUGUGCUGAUAUUGACUAUUAUAGUAUUAUUAGCUCGCUGGCUUUCUUUUUGAGAAAAUAAGCAGCUUGCUUAUACCACGCGCUUUCUCCAUUUGUGUCUGAUUUGUUGUUCUACAUAAGUACAAAUCAUCUCUAAUAAACUUUGACUGACUGACUAAGUGUCACUGAUUCAAAUGGUUAGCAAUGCUUUUUACGUUAUUUGUUAGCUUCUUUUUUUGCGUAUAUACGUUAUUUGUUAACUUCCUGUACAUAGAGAGAGGUGCUCAUUGUUGCAUCGCCACAAGAAGUUAAAAAAUUACUACAGUAUGGAGUUUGAUCUUGAAUUCUUUAUCUGCUGAAGAAAUCAUUCCGCGCACCCAAAUGGAUUUGAUUGUAAAAUUUGCAAUAAUCUCUGCCCUAUAAAUAUAUCAGGUUCGCGGACGUGGCCCAGCUGGAGGACUACACGUGCCUGGACAUCUACGGCCGGCUCCCCACAGCCGCGCUGACGCCGGCCACCGCCUAUGCAGCGUACCUUGUCUUCGUCACCACGGACGCCCACCGCGGCCUGAGCUUCCCGGACCAGGAGACAACGAUUAGCGUGGGCGGCAGUGCCCCAUCCCGCCAUACCGUGUGCCUCCGCCCCGACGCCGCCGAGGCACGCAGGUUCAGAGGCGGGAAAGGUACGGACGGCGUCGACGUGAGGGGGCCUGCGCUGCGCGGCGACGGGUGGUGGGAGAUAGAGAUGGGGCGGCUGCGCACCGGCAACGAGGCAGUGGCGGGGGAGGAGGUGGCGGUGAGCUUUGAGAUGCUGGGGUGGUACCACAAGCGUGGGCUCGUCGUGGAAGGCGUCGAGUUCAGGCCCCUAUGAUCAAAUCGAUGUCGGAGAUGACCUCAAGUUAAUACGGAUGUGUACAUACCCGUGAAAAAGAAUACGGAUGUGUAUGUCGUUUGCACUCUGCGCUGAAUGCCGGUACAUCAGUCGAUGAGCUAGCACGCGGUUUGCGUGCAGUUUGUGAAUAGUAAUUUGAGCAACUUUAUUUUGAGUGUCCAGUGUCUUAACUAGUGAUAUCAGAGGCUUAUUCUUCUUACUUUUCUGCAUUGCAUCAGAGACAUUUUUUUACGAACAUGGCAUGGGCGUAUACGCUCAUAUACACGCUCAAACACUUACUCAUAUGAAUGCACUUAUCUCUAUGAGCACAUUUGAAAGAGUUACCUAACGGGUCUAGAGGCUGACGAAGUCUCUCUACCGAUGAAAACCUCGCCUCCCACUUGAAUAUGAAAGAAUAUCCUGCCUUUAUGAGACACAUGUGUCAAACUUAGGGUUUGAUCCCUAUGGACCGAGGAGUGAAUUAAUGGUACCAUGCACUCUUUACGGUUAACAAACAUAUUCAUGUAAUGAUCCCAUGUACUCUAGAGUCUACGAGUAAUACCUGUAAUAACCCAUAUUUUUGGGUUAUUAAUUUAAAUUAAGAUGAUUAAUUAAAUUUCUAUUAUUGUUUAACAGAAAAUAUUGGGAAAAUAAGAUAUGCUAGAUUAUUGAUUCAAGUGAUUAAAAUAGAACUGUAAUUUUUGCAUGCAUAAAAUAUUAAAUGGAUAUAAUUACACACUAAGUAAGUAUGUAUAUGUGCACAUAGACUAGCAUCCAUGCACUCACGUUAUGGCAUUAGCAUGCAAAGUAAUACAAAUUAGUGGGUAGUAGAGGCUAGCUAGUAAUGAGAAGAUGGCCAAAUACUAGAAGAUGUGCAUGCAUGUAAUGAUGAGAAUGCACACGUAUGUACUAUGCUUACAAAGCUAAGUAAAAUCCUAUGCAUGAGAGGGCCAACGUGGCCUGGUACUAGAUGAAGCUAGGUUGUGCUGGCAGCACCCUUAGAUAUUUAGGACCAAGAAAUUUCUACGUGGAGGUUUUGUAUAGUGGUCAGGUUUGUUUGGCUUUUGCACAAGCAAAAGGGGCAGCAGUUCGAAGGGUCAAGGGGCAAGGGUCAAAGGCCAUUGCGGCUUGAUCUUUUACCAGGUUCUCCAUGUAGACCAAUGCAUGCUUGCCACGUAAUAGGUAGAGUCCAGAUGAUCGUUUGCUUCAAGAACAGCUCGGCUGAGUUCACUCUGGGCUCACCAUCUAUAAAUAGCUGCUGCUACUCGUUUUGCACAUCCUCAUCACCAAGAGUGGGAGCAUGAGAGAAAUAGAGCAUACCAGCGGAGAGAGAGCGAAGAGAAGAGAGAUGAAGAAUAUAAGUAUGCAUGCGUCCAUGUUUGAAGAUAUAUAGAUCGUGUAGAUGCUGCUGGAGGGAAGAACGGAGCCAUACGUCAGAAGAAUAUUAGUAUAUGAGUGUUCGUCAGAUUCUAUACAAAGAUGAUGGAGUAUUGGAGUUUCAUCUUCUAGCAAAAUAUUAUUCUAAAGGACAAAUCAUAUUAUCCGAGGCAAGUGGUUACUUUGCUAACUCCUUGAAUCCUAUCUUAUUGUUGUCUCCUGUGAUCAUCGUUCUGAUUAUGUUGCUAGACCUUGAAUCUUAUUUAUCCUUUGUUGAUUCCUGUUUUAUUUGAGGACAUGUUGUCCUUGAUAAUCCAUUUGUUGAAGGACAUGUUGUCCUUGAUGAUCCAUUUGUUGAUGGAAAGUCUGAUACGAGAGGAACUCAUGUAAAGGCAUGGGUUUAUUGUCUUGGCUGAUAUUUCAGUGAUCCUAUAUAGCUGAUCCAGCCCCAUGUCAUAUUCUGUCCAUCUAUAUUGGUGUCACGACGGCAAACGUAUUGUACCGGUCAUAGUUCAGGUAUGGGACUGUCUGAGUUCUCCACUAAGGACGGACCUUCACUGGUAGAAAAAGGGCCUAUAGUCCCGGUUCGUAAGGGCCUUUAGUCUCGGUUCCUGAACCGAGACUAAAGUGUCGGUACUAAUGCCCUGUACCUUUAGUCCCAGUUCAAUCCAGAACCGGGACUGAUGGGCCUCCAUGUGGGCAGUGCGCAGAGCCCAGGCAGGAGACCCUUUAGUCCCGGUUGGUGGCACCAACCGGGACCAAUAGGCAUCCACGCGUCAGCAUUUCUGUGGCUGGGGUUUUUUUGAAAGGGGGGGGAGUUGGGGGUUUUGGGGGGUUAAUUUAGGUGUUUCAUAUAUUGUGUUAGCUAGCUAUAAUUAAUAGAGAGAAGUGUCCUCUCUUACGUCCGUGCUUGGUCGACGCUACGUACUAUACAUAUGUAUAGAGAGGACUAGACACGCUAGUUAGCUAGUAAGCAAACGAAGGAAACAGAAGAUCCUCAUGAACAUAUAUGCAUACAGAGAGAAGUGAUAUCGACCACCUCUCCUUCUCCGAGAGAUUGGUCGAACAACAAGUUCUCGUAUAUCUAUCCGACACUACCGGCUACAUAUAUACAAUAAUUAUCUCUUACAAAUAUAAUCAUACGGACUCAUGGUCCACAUAGUAUUCUCCGUCUUCAGUGAUCACUUGGUCAAGAAAGAAUGCCGCCAAUUCCUCUUGAAUUGCUCGCAUGCGAGCUGGUGCUAGGAGUUCUGUUGGAAAUAUGCCCUAGAGGCAAUAAUAAAUUAGUUAUUAUUAUAUUUCCUUGUUCAUGAUAAUUUAUUAUCCAUGCUAGAAUUGUAUUGAUAAGAAACUCAGAUACAUGUGUGGAUACAUAGACAACACCAUGUCCCUAGUGAGCCUCUAGUUGACUAGCUCGUUGAUCAAUAGAUGUUUACGGUUUCUUGACCAUGGACAUUGGAUGUCAUUGAUAACGGGAUCACAUCAUUAGGAGAAUGAUGUGAUGGACAAGACCCAAUCCUAAGCCUAGCACAAGAUCAUGUAGUUCAUAUGCUAAAGCUUUUCUAAUGUCAAGUAUCAUUUCCUUAGACCAUGAGAUUGUGCAACUCCCAGAUACCGUAGGAGUGCUUUGGGUGUACCAAACGUCACAACGUAAUUGGGUGACUAUAAAGGUGCACUACGGGUAUCUUCGAAAGUGUCUGUUGGGUUGGCACGAAUCGAGACUGGGAUUUGUCACUCCGUGUGACGGAGAGGUAUCUCUGGGCCCACUCGCUAGGACAUCAUCAUAAUGUGCACAAUGUGAUCAAGGAGUUGAUCACGGGAUGAUGUGUUACGGAACGAGUAAAACAGACUUGCCGGUAACAAGAUUGAACAAGGUAUCGGGAUACCGACGAUCGAAUCUCGGGCAAGUAUCGUACCGCUAGACAAAGGGAAUUGUAUACGAGAUUGAUUAAGUCCUUGACAUCGUGGUUCAUCCGAUGAGAUCAUCGUGGAACAUGUGGGAGCCAACAUGGGUAUCCAGAUCCCGCUGUUGGUUAUUGACCGGAGAGUCAUCUCGGUCAUGUCUGCAUGUCUCCUGAACCCGUAGGGUCUACACACUUAAGGUUCGGUGACGCUAGGGUUAUAGAGAUAUUAGUAUGCGGUAACCCAAAAGUUGUUCGGAGUCCCGGAUGAGAUCCCGGACGUCACGAGGAGUUCCGGAAUGGUCCGGAGGUAAAGAAUUAUAUAUAGGAAGUGCUAUUUCGGCCAUCGGGACAAGUUUCGGGGUCACCGGUAUUGUACCGGGACCACCGGAAGGGUCCCGGGGGUCCACCGGGUGGGGCCACCUGCCCCGGGGGGGCACAUGGGCUGUAGGGGGUGCGCCUUGGCCUAUAUGGGCCAAGGGCACCAGCCCCAAGAGGCCCAUGUGCGAAGAGAAGAGGGAAAGGAAGAGUCCUAAAGGGGGAAGGCACCUCCGAGGUGCCUUGGGGAGGAGGGACUCCUCCCUUGGCCGCACCCUUCCUUGGAGGAAGGGCCAAGGCUGCGCCCCCCCCCCCUCUCCCUUGGCCCUAUAUAUAGUGGGGGAAAGGGAGGGCAGCCAUACAUAAGCCCUGGCGCCUCCCUCUCCCUCCCAUGACACAUCUCCCUCCUCCCGCAGCGCUUGGCGAAGCCCUGUUGGAAUCCCGCUACUUCCACCACCACGCCGUCGUGUUGUUGGAUCUCCAUCAACCUCUUCUCCCCCCUUGCUGGAUUAAGAAGGAGGAGACGUCGCUGCUCCGUACGUGUGUUGAACGCGGAGGUGCCGUCCGUUCGGCGCUAGGAUCAUCGGUGAUUUGGAUCACGACGAGUACGACUCCAUCAACCCCGUUCUCUUGAAUGCUUCCGCGCGCGAUCUACAAGGGUAUGUGGAUCCACUCCUCCCUCGUUGCUAGAUGACUCCAUAGAUAGAUCUUGGUGACACGUAGGAAAAUUUUGAAUUUAUGCUACGUUCCCCAACAGUGGCAUCAUGAGCUAGGUCUAUGCGUAGUUUCUAUGCACGAGUAGAACACAAGGUAGUUGUGGGCGUUGAUUUUGUUCAAUAUGCUUGCCGUUACUAGUCUUAUCUUGAUUCGGCGGCAUCGUGGGAUGAAGCGGCCCGGACCGACCUUACACGUGCUCUUACGUGAGACUGGUUCCACCGACUGACAUGCACUAGUUGCAUAAGGUGGCUAGCGGGUGUCUGUCUCUCCCACUUUAGUCGGAUCGGAUUCGAUGAAAAGGGUCCUCAUGAAGGGUAAAUAGCAAUUGGCAUAUCACGUUGUAGUUUUUGCGUAGGUAAGAAACGUUCUUGCUAGAAACCCUUAGCAGCCACGUAAAACAUGCAAACAACAAUUAGAGGACGUCUAACUUGUUUUUGCAGGGUAUGCUAUGUCAUGUGAUAUGGCCAAAGGAUGUGAUGAAUGAUAUAUGUGAUGUAUGAGAUGAUCAUGUUCUUGUAAAAGGAAUCACGACUUGCAUGUCGAUGAGUAUGACAACCGGCAGGAGCCAUAGGAGUUGUCUUUAUUUAGUUAUGACCUGCGUGUCAACUUAAAUGUCAUGUAAUUACUUUACUUUAUUGCUAACCGUUAGCUGUAGAAGUAGAAGUAAUAGUUGGCGAGACAACUUCAUGAAGACACGAUGAUGGAGAUCAUGGUGUCAUGCCGGUGACGAUGAUGAUCAUGGAGCCCCGAAGAUGGAGAUCAAAAGGAGCUAUAUGAUAUUGGCCAUAUCAUGUCACUAUUUGAUUGCAUGUGAUGUUUAUCAUGUUUAUACAUCUUAUUUGCUUAGAACGACGGUAGUAAAUAAGAUGAUCCCUCGUUAAAAUUUCAAGAAAGUGUUCCCCCUAACUGUGCACCGUUGCGACAGUUCGUUCGUUUCUAAGCACCAUGUGAUGAUCGGGUGUGAUAGAUUCCAACGUUCACAUACAACGGUUGUAAGACAGAUUUACACAUGCAAACACUUAGGUUGACUUGACGAGCCUAGCAUGUACAGACAUGGCCUCGGAACACAGAAGACCGAAAGGUCGAGCAUGAGUCGUAUAGAAGAUACGAUCAACAUGAAGAUGUUCACCGAUGUUGACUAGUCUGUCUCACGUGAUGAUCGGACACGGCCUAAUUGACUCGGAUCAUGUAAUCACUUAGAUGACUAGAGGGAUGUCUAUCUGAGUGGGAGUUCAUAAGAUGAACUUGUUUAUCCUGAACAUAGUCAAAAGGAUUUUGCAAAUUGUGUCGUAGCUCGCGCUUUAGUUCUACUGUUUAGAUAUGUUCCUAGAGAAAAUUUUAGUUGAAAGUUGAUAGUAGCAAUUAUGCGGACUAGGUCCGUAAACUGAGGAUUGUCCUCAUUGCUUCUUAGAAGGCUUAUGUCCUUAAUGCACCGCUCAGUGUGCUGAACCUCGAACGUCGUCUGUGGAUGUUGCGAACAUCUGACAUACACGUUUUGAUAACUACGUGAUAGUUCAGUUGAACGGUUUAGAGUUGAGGCACCGAAGACGUUUUUAAAACGUCGCAAAACAUAUGAGAUGUUUUGAGGGCUGAAAUUGGGAUUUCAGGCUCGUGCCCACGUCAAGAGGUAUAAGACCUCCACGAUUUUCUCAGCCUGCAAACUGAGGAGAAAAGCUCAAUUGUUGAGCUAGUGCUCAGAUUGUCUGAGUACAACAAUCAUUUGAAUCAAGUGGGAGUUGAUCUUCCAGAUAAGAUAGUGAUGUUUCUCCGAAGUCAUUACCACCAAGCUGCUAGAGCUUCGUGAUGAACUAUAAUAUAUCAGGGACAUAUAUGAUGAUCCUUGAGAUAUUCGCGAUGUUUGACACCACAAAAGUAGAAAUCAAGAAGGAGCAUCAAUUGUUGAUGGUUGGUGAAACCACUAGUUUCAAGAAGGGCAAGGGCAAGAAGGGAUACUUCAUGAAACGGCAAUUCAGCUGCUGCUCUAGUGAAGAAACCCAAGGUUGAACCCAAACCCGAGACUAAGUGCUUCUGUAAUAAGGGGAACAGCCACUGGAGCAGAAUUACCCUAGAUAUUUGGUAGAUGAGAAGGCUGGCAAGGUCGAUAGAAGUAUAUUGGAUAUACAUUGUGUUAAUGUGUACUUUACUAGUACUCCUAGUAGCACCAGGGUAUUAGAUACCGGUUCAGUUGCUAAGUGUUAGUAACUCGAAAUAAAAGCUACGGAAUAAACGGAGACUAGCUAAAGGUGAGAUGACGAUAUGUGUUGGAAGUAUUUCCAAGGUUGAUCAAAUAUCGUACGCUCCCUCUACCAUCGAGAUUGGUAUUAAAACCUAAAUAAUUGUUAUUUGGUGUUUGCGUUGAGCAUAGACAUGACUGGAUUAUGUCUAUCGCAAUACGGUUAUUCAUUUAAGGAGAAUAAUGGUUACUCUGUUUAUUUGAAUAAUACCUUCAAUGGUCUUGCACCUAAAAUGAAUGGUUCAUUGAAUCUCGAUCAUAGUGAUACACAUGUUCAUGCCAAAAGAUAUAAGAUAGUAAUGAUAGUACCACCUACUUGUGGCACUGCCACUUAAGUCAUAUCGGUAUAAAACGCAUGAAGAAGCUCCAUGUUGAUGGAUCUUUGGGCUCACUCGUUUUUGAAAGGUUUGAGACAUGCGAACCAUGUCUAUUGGUGUAUAUGCAUGAAGAAACUCCAUGCAAAUGGACCGUUUGGACUCACUUGAUUUUGAAUCACUUGAGACAUGCAAAUCAUACCACAUGGGCAAGAUGACUGAAAGCCUCGUUUUCAGUAAAAUGGAACUAGAAAGCAACUUGUUGGAAGUAAUACAUUUUGAUGUGUGCAAUCCAAUGAGUGCUGAGGCAUGUAGUGGAUAUCGUUAUGUUCUUACUUCACAGAUGAUUUGAGUAGAUGUUGAGUAUAUUUACUUGAUGAAUCACGAGUCUGAAUUAUUGAAAGGUUCAAGUAAUUUCAGGGUGAAGUUGAAAGAUCGUCAUGACAAGAGGAUAAAAGAUCUAUGAUAUGAUCAUAGAGAUGAAUAUUUGAAUUACGAGUUUGGCACAGAAUUAAGACUUUGUGGAAAUUGUUUCACAACUAAUACAGCCUGGAACACCAUAGUGUGAUGGGGUGUCCGAACAUCAUAACUGCACCCUAUUGGAUAUGAUGCAUACCAUGAUGUCUCUUAUCGAAUUACCACGAUAGUUUAUGGGUUAGGCAUUAGAGACAACCACAUUCACUUUAAAUAGGGCACCACGUAAUUCCGAUGAGAUGACACCGUAUGAACUAUGGUUUAGAGAAACCUAAGCUGUCAUUUCUUAAAAGUUUGGGGCUGCGACGCUUAUGUGAAAAAGUUUCAGGCUGAUAAGCUCGAACCCAAAGCGGAUAAAUGCAUCUUCAUAGGACACCCAAAACAGUUGGGUAUACCUCCUGUCUCAGAUUCGAAAGCAAUAAGGGAUUGUUUCUAGAAUCGGGUUCUUUCUCGAGGAAAAGUUUCUCUCGAAAGAAUUGAGUGGGAGGAUGGUGGAGACUUGAUGAGGUUAUUGAACCGUCUCUUCAACUAGUGUGUGGCAGGGCACAGGAGUUGUUCCUGAGGCACCUACACCAAUUGAAGUGGAAGCUUAUGAUAGUGAUCAUGAAACUUCAGAUCAAGUCACUACCAAACCUCGUGGGAUGACAAGGAUGCGUACUACUUCAGAGUGGUACGUGAUCAUGUCUUGGAAGUCAUGUUGCUAGACAACAAUGAACCUACGAGCUAUGGAGAAGCGAUGGUGGGCCCGGAUUCCAAAAUGGCUUGAGGCCAUAUAAUCCGAGAGAGGAUCCAUAUAUGAAAACAAAGUGUAGACUUUGGGAGAACAACUCGAUGGUCGUAAGGCUGUUGAGUGCAGAUGGAUUUUAAAAGGAAGACGGACAAUGAUGGUAAAUGUCACCAUUAAGAAAGCUCGACUUGUCGUUAAGAUGUUUUCCGACAAGUUCAAGGAGUUGACUACGAUGAGACUUUCUCACUCGUAGCGAUGCUAAGAGUCUGUUGGAAUUAUAUUAGCGAUUACUGUAUUAUUUAUGAAAUCUUGCAGAUAGGAUGUCAAAACAUUGUUUCCUCGACGAUUAUCUUGAGGAAAGGUUGCAUGUGAUACAACCGGAAGGUUUUGUCAAUCCUGAAAGAUGCUAAUAAGUAUGCAAAGCUCCAGCAAUCCUUCUAGGGACUGGAGUAAGCAUCUCGGAGUUGGAAUGUAUGCUUUGAUGAUGAUCAAAGAUUUUGGGUUUAUACAAAGUUUAUGAGAAACUUGUAUUUCCAAAGAAGUGAGUGGGAGCACUAUAGAAUUUCUGAUAAAUAUAUGUUGUUGACAUAUUGUUGAUCAGAAAUGACGUAGAAUUUCUGGAAAGCAUAUAGGGUUAUUUGGAAAGUGUUUUUCAAUGGAAAGCCUGGAUUAAGCUACUUAAAACAUUGAGCAUCAAGAUCUAUAAGGAUAGAUCAAAACGCUUAAUGGUACUUUCAAAUGAGCACAUACCUUGACAUGAUCUUGAAGGUGUUCAAGAUGGAUCAGUCAAAGAAGGAGUUCUUGCCUGAGUUGUAAGGUAUGAAGUUAAGACUUAACGCUCGACCACGGCAGAAUAGAGAGAAAGGACGAAGGUCGUCCCCUAUGCUUAAGACAUAGGCUCUACAGUAUGCUAUGCUGUGUACUGCACCUAAAAUGUGCCUUGCCAUGAGUCAGUCAAGGGGUACAAGAGUGAUCUAAGAAUGGAUCACAGGACAGCGGUCAAAAUUAUCCUUAGAGGAAUAAGGGCAUGUUUCUCAAUUAUGGAGGUGGUAAAAGAGUUCGUCGUAAAGGGUUACGCCGAUGCAAACUUUAACACUAAUCCAGAUUAUUCUGAGUAGUAAACUGGAUUCGUAUAGUAGAACAGUUAUUUGGAAUAGCUUCAAAUAGAACAUGGUAGCUGCAUCUAGGAGAUUCCAUAGAGAUUUGCGAAGUACAUACGGAUCUGAAUGUUGCAGACCCGUUGACUAAAACCUCUCUCACAAGCAACAUGAUCAAACCAGAACUCAUCGAGUGUUAAUCACAUGGUAAUGUGAAUUAGAUUAUUGACUCUAGUAAACUCUUUGGGUGUUAGUCACAUGGGGAUGUGACCUUGAGUGUUAAUCACAUAUCGAUGUGAACUGGAUUAUUGACUCUAGUGCAAGUGGGAGACUGUUGGAAAUAUUCCCUAGAGGCAAUAAUAAAUUAGUUAUUAUUAUAUUUGCUUGUUCAUGAUAAUCGUUUAUUAUCCAUGCUAGAAUUGUAUUGAUAGGAAACUCAGAUACAUGUGUGGAUACAUAGACAACACCAUGUCCCUAGUGAGCCUCUAGUUGACUAGCUCGUUGAUCAAUAGAUGGUUACGGUUUCCUGGCCAUGGACAUUGGAUGUCAUUGAUAACGGGAUCACAUCAUUAGGAGAAUGAUGUGAUGGACAAGACCCAAUCCUAAGCCUAGCACAAGAUCAUGUAGUUCGUAUGCUAAAGCUUUUCUAAUGUCAAGUAUCAUUUCCUUAGACCAUGAGAUUGUGCAACUCCCGGAUACCGUAGGAGUGCUUUGGGUGUACCAAACGUCACAACGUAACUGGGUGACUAUAAAGAUGCACUACGGGUAUCUCCGAAAGUGUCUGUUGGGUUGGCACGAAUCGAGACUGGGAUUUGUCACUCCGUGUGACGGAGAGGUAUCUCUGGGCCCACUCGGUAGGACAUCAUCAUAAUGUGCACAAUGUGAUCAAGGAGUUGAUCACGGGAUGAUGUGUUACGGAACGAGUAAAAGAGACUUGCCGGUAACGAGAUUGAACAAGGUAUCGGGAUACCGACGAUCGAAUCUCGGGCAAGUAUCGUACCGCUAGACAAAGGGAAUUGUAUACGGGAUUGAUUAAGUCCUUGACAUCGUGGUUCAUCCGAUGAGAUCAUCGUGGAACAUGUGGGAUCCAACAUGGGUAUCCAGAUCCCGCUGUUGGUUAUUGACCGGAGAGUCAUCUCGGUCAUGUCUGCAUGUCUCCUGAACCCGUAGGGUCUACACACUUAAGGUUCGGUGACGCUAGGGUUAUAGAGAUAUUAGUAUGCGGUAACCCGAAAGGUGUUCGGAGUCCCAGAUGAGAUCCCGGACGUCACGAGGAGUUCCGGAAUGGUCCGGAGGUAAAGAAUUAUAUAUAGGAAGUGCUAUUUUGGCCAUCGGGACAAGUUUCGGGGUCACCGGUAUUGUACCGGGACCACCGGAAGGGUCCCGGGGGUCCACCGGGUGGGGUCACCUGCCCCGGGGGGCCACAUGGGCUGUAGGGGGUGCGCCUUGGCCUAUAUGGGCCAAGGGCACCAGCCCCAAGAGGCCCAUGCGCCAAGAGAAGAGGGAAAGGAAGAGUCCUAAAGGGGGAAGGCACCUCCGAGGUGCCUUGGGGAGGAAGGACUCCUCCCUUGGCCGCACCCUUCCUUGGAGGAAGGGCCAAGGCUGCUCCCCCCCUCUCCCUUGGCCCUAUAUAUAGUGGGGGAAAGGGAGGGCAGCCAUACAUAAGCCCUGGCGCCUCCCUCUCCCUCCCAUGACACAUCUCCCUCCUCCCGCAGCGCUUGGCGAAGCCCUGUUGGAAUCCCGCUACUUCCACCACCACUCCGUCGUGUUGUUGGAUCUCCAUCAACCUCUCCUCCCCCCUUGCUGGAUCAAGAAGGAGGAGAUGUCGCUGCUCCGUACGUGUGUUGAACGCGGAGGUGCCGUCCGUUCGGCGCUAGGAUCAUCGGUGAUUUGGAUCACGACGAGUACGACUCCAUCAACCCCGUUCUCUUGAAUGCUUCCGUGCGCGAUCUACAAGGGCAUGUGGAUCCACUCCUCCCUCGUUUCUAGAUGACUCCAUAGAUAGAUCUUGGUGACAUGUAGGAAAAUUUUGAAUUUAUGCUACGUUCCCCAACAAGUUCAUCCCGCUUCCGAAACAUCUAAUUUGAAGCAGGGGGUCAAUACAUAUAUAUAUAUGAAUGAAUGAAACUCAAUAUAAAUGAUGGUAAUAAAAUAAAAUUAUGAAUGUUGUUAUUUACGUACUUCAUAUUGUUCGUCAGAGUACCCUCCCCGCUCACAGGUCGUGUGGCGAAUGGACUCGCAGACGUAGUAUCCACAGAAAUCAUUUCUUUUUUCCUGCCACAACCACUUUACAAAAAAUAGAGGUCAAUCAAACUGAUAAGCAAGAAUGCUAAAUGGUAUUGAUGAAACUAGCGCUUGAAUCACUAGGAGAUGCGCGGAACAUGCUACUAUAGUACUUACUUUCGGGUGUCUAAAUUCCAGCUCCUUCGGCAGUCCCGGAACUGUUCUGGUGAAUUUUCUCCAAACCUUGCCGGACAAAGAAAACAAUUACUUGAUAUCAAGAAAUGAACAAAGUUGCCAAUAUGGUGGAUAAUGAUCGAUUUAACUUACUUCUUGAGGAUUUCAGUCAUGUCCGCAUACUCCUGGGGAUCUUUUCGUUUAGAGUCCAAGACGGUUACUACUCCCUGCUCAAGCCUAAUCUCUAGGAGAAUAUAGUGGAAACUGCACACGCAUGCAUAACUCAUCAAUUACAUUACUAUAACCUGGACUAAUAUAUAAGGGAAACCGAAUAUGCACAAGACAGUAACACUCACUUGAAGUUGUAAGGAAAGAGUAUUAUAUCUUUGUUUUCAUUUUUUUUGAAUGAUCGUAGCAAGUUGGCCUCGGUAUCUCCGGGACGAUGUUGAACCUCAGUUGCAUCUAUGAGAUAUGUGUUAACGAACCCAAUAUCACCGAUUUGUCUUUUCUUCAAUUCGGCGAUCUUCAUUCUGCAUAAUAUAGUGAGGAUAAUUAUAAUACAUGCAAUGAAAGAGAUGAGCUAUAUAGAGAGACUUAAUGACAGAAGUAGUAGUACUUACAGACAGUAGCAGGUGAUCGUUGUUUUAUCGAGGGCCAAUUGAUUGAAAAACUGAUAGAACUCCUCAAAUGGAAUAGGCAACAGUUUAAUUCCAACGAGGUCAUGCUCCGGUUUAACUCUCGCAUACAAAGUACUCCUCCCCCCAGACUCUCUGCAGAUUUUCAAGUACCAAUCAUGUAAUCUUCGCAUCAUCGUUGUUAAAGAUUUUUCAUCUUUGACGAGAGGCUUCCCGUACUCGUAUCUGUGUAUCUGCACCUCCAUGGUAUCAUAAUGUACAUCGUCGGGCAGGUAAUCGUCAACAUUGCCAUAACCGGGCACCAUCCUCGGAUCGACGAUGUCGCUAGGCACCUUGAGGGGGGGGCACGAUUGCUUCGCUUGUUCGCCGAGCUGGGCAAUUUGUUUCCCAGCUGCUCGUCGUUCUUUCAGCCUUUGAUCACUGACUGUACUUCCCGACUGCUCCGCUUCGGCCCAUGUCUUUGCAAUAAUGCGCUCAUAGUUGCCUUUCGGCAGAGACUUGGGCGGUUUUGCCAGGGCAGCCAGAGUGCGCUUCACUUUCACCGGAUCUACCUUCUCCUCCGGAGGUGGAUGUCUCUUUGCUCUCAACCCUUGAAACCAGUCAUCCACUUCGGUUCGCGCGAUCUCGGCGUUCUCCUCCGGGGUCCUCUCAUAUGGUAACUUCUCUGGAGUCUUCAGAGAAGGACCAAAUCUGUAUGUCCUCCUGCCUCUGGUUGUACUGCUAGACGCCGAUCGAGCAGACGGAGCGGUUGUCUUCUUUACUUGCUUACGAGGUGGAGGAGAAGGACUACAACGCGCCGGAGCAGCUGGAGCGGCGGCAGGUCUCUUCCGCCCUUGCUGACGAGGCGGAGAAGGAGGAGGUUGGCUGCUCGGUCGCGUCGGCGCAGGCGGAGAAGGAGGCGGAGUGCCGCCACGCGCAGGAGAAGGAGCCGGCCGAGGGCCCUGAUCGUCACUCGUCGGAGGAGGAGGCGGUGGAGGAGGCGGAGUGCCCUGACUCGCCGGAGGAGGAGGAGGAGGCGGAGGCGUCCAGUUCGGAAGGUUGAUGAGCUCCUUCCGCCAUAGGCAUGGAUUUCUUCAAUACUUUGACACUAGGAAACCUCUCUCGACCCCUCGAACCCUCGACGACCCUGGAACCCUCGACCCCUAGACGACCCUGGAACCCUCGACCCUCGACCCUAUAGAACCCUCGAACCCUCGACCCUGAAACCCUCGACCCUUGACCCCUUAACGACCCUCGACCCUCUACCCUAGUUCCCGACCCUCGACCCCUCGGCGGUCCUCGACACCCUCGUUCCCGAUAAAAAUUAAGAAGAAGAAGAAGAAGAAGAAGAAGAAGAAGAAGAAGAAGAAGAAGAAGAAGAAGAAGAAGAAGAAGAAGAAGAAGAAGAAGAAAGAGGAGAAGAAGAAAGGAAUAGCUAGAGGAGAAGAUCAAAGAAAAAGAAGAAGAAGAAAAAGAGGAGAAGAAGAAAGGAAUAGUGGAGAAGAAGAAAAAAUAGAAUAUAUUCUAUUUUCUCUUCUUCUCCACUAUUCGUUUCUUCUUCUCCUCUUCUUUUUCUUCUUUUUUCUUCUUCUUAUUUAUUUCUCCUCUUCUUCCUCUCCUCCUCUUCUUCUUAUUUAGUUCUCUCGACCCCUCGUCCCUCUCUCGACCCCUCGACGACCUUCGUCCCUGAUUACAUUUUUUUCUCCCCUCGUCACCUCUCGACCUCUCGUCCCACUCUCGACCCCUCAUCAUCAUCUAUCACCCCCUCAUUUUCUUUAGCAUAUAUCCAUGAACAAAAUAAUAAUUCAUAUAUAGAAAAAAUGCUAUAUGAACAUACAUACAUAUGAGCAUAUACAGAGAGCAUAUACAUAGCCAAAUCCAUAUACAGAGAGCACAUACAUACAUACAUACAUACAUACAUACAUACAUACAUACAUACAUACAUACAUACAUAUGAGCAUAUACAUACAUACAUAGCCAUACAUACAUACAUACAUAUAUACAUACAUAGCCAUACAUAUGAGCCUCUCAGCGGCGAUGGUCAGAGCAACAGGGAUCGAUGGGAAGGGGGGAGCUCACUGGGGGCGCGACGGGGAGGAGGCCGGGGACGGGGAGGAGGCCGGCGNNNNNNNNNNNNNNNNNNNNNNNNNNNNNNNNNNNNNNNNNNNNNNNNNNNNNNNNNNNNNNNNNNNNNNNNNNNNNNNNNNNNNNNNNNNNNNNNNNNNNNNNNNNNNNNNNNNNNNNNNNNNNNNNNNNNNNNNNNNNNNNNNNNNNNNNNNNNNNNNNNNNNNNNNNNNNNNNNNNNNNNNNNNNNNNNNNNNNNNNNNNNNNNNNNNNNNNNNNNNNNNNNNNNNNNNNNNNNNNNNNNNNNNNNNNNNNNNNNNNNNNNNNNNNNNNNNNNNNNNNNNNNNNNNNNNNNNNNNNNNNNNNNNNNNNNNNNNNNNNNNNNNNNNNNNNNNNNNNNNNNNNNNNNNNNNNNNNNNNNNNNNNNNNNNNNNNNNNNNNNNNNNNNNNNNNNNNNNNNNNNNNNNNNNNNNNNNNNNNNNNNNNNNNNNNNNNNNNNNNNNNNNNNNNNNNNNNNNNNNNNNNNNNNNNNNNNNNNNNNNNNNNNNNNNNNNNNNNNNNNNNNNNNNNNNNNNNNNNNNNNNNNNNNNNNNNNNNNNNNNNNNNNNNNNNNNNNNNNNNNNNNNNNNNNNNNNNNNNNNNNNNNNNNNNNNNNNNNNNNNNNNNNNNNNNNNNNNNNNNNNNNNNNNNNNNNNNNNNNNNNNNNNNNNNNNNNNNNNNNNNNNNNNNNNNNNNNNNNNNNNNNNNNNNNNNNNNNNNNNNNNNNNNNNNNNNNNNNNNNNNNNNNNNNNNNNNNNNNNNNNNNNNNNNNNNNNNNNNNNNNNNNNNNNNNNNNNNNNNNNNNNNNNNNNNNNNNNNNNNNNNNNNNNNNNNNNNNNNNNNNNNNNNNNNNNNNNNNNNNNNNNNNNNNNNNNNNNNNNNNNNNNNNNNNNNNNNNNNNNNNNNNNNNNNNNNNNNNNNNNNNNNNNNNNNNNNNNNNNNNNNNNNNNNNNNNNNNNNNNNNNNNNNNNNNNNNNNNNNNNNNNNNNNNNNNNNNNNNNNNNNNNNNNNNNNNNNNNNNNNNNNNNNNNNNNNNNNNNNNNNNNNNNNNNNNNNNNNNNNNNNNNNNNNNNNNNNNNNNNNNNNNNNNNNNNNNNNNNNNNNNNNNNNNNNNNNNNNNNNNNNNNNNNNNNNNNNNNNNNNNNNNNNNNNNNNNNNNNNNNNNNNNNNNNNNNNNNNNNNNNNNNNNNNNNNNNNNNNNNNNNNNNNNNNNNNNNNNNNNNNNNNNNNNNNNNNNNNNNNNNNNNNNNNNNNNNNNNNNNNNNNNNNNNNNNNNNNNNNNNNNNNNNNNNNNNNNNNNNNNNNNNNNNNNNNNNNNNNNNNNNNNNNNCCUAUUUUUUUGAUUUGUUUUUUGCAUUAUUUAUUUUCUUCUGUUUUUUGCUUUAAUUUUUAAUUUUGUUUGCUUUUAGGUUAGCAAAAUUAUAAACUUUCUGUUAGUGCCAUUAGUUUUAGAAAAAUUAUAAACUUUCUGUUAGUGCCAUUAGUUUUCAAAUUUGAAUAGUUAAAAUUUGAAUUCUUUGAAAAUUGUUUGAAUCACAAGUUUGUGAUUAACUUACUAAAAAAAUGAGAAUAGAUGAAAGUUGAAAGUUUCUGUUAGUGCCAUUAGUUUUAGAAAGUUGAAAGUUAAAAGUUGGCAUGGGCCAGGGACUAAUGGUCAUGGUAUUACGAGGGCCGAACCAUAAGACAUGAAAGCAUUUCAAAUGAACUCUGAAAAAGUUGAAAGUUGGGAUGGUAUCAUAAUUUCACCCACAUAUCAUGUGCAUGUACAAAACGGACAAUGGUAGCAUGUUCGUGUGUUACAAAGUUGCGGGAGAAAGGAGCGAUGCUAGGGCAUAUUUCCAACAGGCAUCCUUCCCGCGACCCUUAAACUGUCCAUGCCAUGCUAGAAGGAGCGAUCAUGUUGGUUCACAGAAUUGCAAAAUGUGGAUGAACAAAUCUUUGGAUAUCCUGAACCGGAGACGGAAGUACCCUCUGGAAAAACGGGUGGUGUACCAAAAUAGUUGCACAUCAAUCUCUCAUGCUCUGAACCCGUUCUCCCGAUGAACUCACGGCCAAAUAAGGGACCACCACGCUUUGACUUAUUCCUCUUGUGCAUUGCCCCUCGCAUAGCACUGUCCUCUUCUUCGUUCAUAUCAAAUUCCUCAUCCGACGAUGAAUCAUCCAUGAAAGAGGAGUCGCACGAACUCAUCUACAAUGCGGAAAUCACCGUCAAACUACACCUUCAUGUCCGAUAAAAAAACCCUCCUAGUUUGCAAGAUUUUUUUUUCAUUGCGGGAAUUUGCUCGAACACGUUGUGGGCAAGGUGGAAGGAAUCAACCAGCGGCGGGUCGGGAUGUGUGCGGCGGCUGCAGACUUGAGAUGGCGGGUGCCGGGUGGGCAAUGGCUGCAGGUAGCCGCGUGGCUGCCGGAGGACUUUGCUUGCGUGGAGGCGCCGAUGAAGGCAACACCCGAGAAACCGCUGGCUCGGCCGAUUGCGGUGGUCGUGCGACAUCACCUUUUUAGCUUCGGCGGCUGAAAACUGCUACAAGAAGGUGGCCGAGAGCUUGUACAACCAUUACGGCAGCUGGAGCUCCGACAAAUUUCCAAAUCGGUCGCGCGAUCUCGGCGGGGCACAAUCAGAUCGGCGUCGACUACGGCGGCGUGGUUGAUGGCGGGAAUAGGCAGCCGAGUCGGGUAGGCGGCGUCGCGUUUUGGGGCAAAAAUCGCAUGUGGACAGGCGGGCGAAAGUGAAAUGAAGGUUUAUUAUAUUACGUCUUUCAUGUUACAAGUUGAAAUGACAUCGUAUUCAAGAUUUCUUUUCCCGACAAAGGGUGGAUUUUAUUACCUCAAAAUGAAGCAUCAAGUGAAUACAACAGAUAAUGAGCAGACACCAGCCUCUGCAUAGCUAAGAUGCACAAAGACAACACAGACUAAACACACCGACAGAUAGCAAUGUCAUACAAGACCAAAGCCAUGCCUUAGCAUGGAAAAAGAAGAAGAAGAAAAAAGCCGAAGCGGUCAAAACAGAGAUCGACAAACUACAGUAACGAUCUUAUCCGCACUAAUCUUCUCUUGACACCACAAGGACGGCGAAGUUCUUCAACAACAACGCCUUCAGAAAAGAAACAAUGCUCAAACACCGUAUUGAAGAUGAUUAUUGCAUCACAGUGUGCAGAACCACCAAUCCUGAUUUAAAAAAGAAGAAUGAUUGAUGGUUGCAGUUGUCCCAGUCAGGAUCUGAUUUGCUUAUCCAGAAGGCGACGAUCCCAAUGCCCAUGCCCGCCUCCGUUACAAAGCUCCGACCCAUCAUCCAUCGUCCAUCACCAGUGCGGUAUACACCCCGGUUGACUAGCGCUGAUUUGCUCCCUCUCCAGCUCCGGCUCCCAGAUCGAGACGGCGGCGGCGGCGGCGAUGGGCGCCCACCCUUACGUGCCGGCGAGCCUGGACCUCCCGGGCUACGUGCCGCUGCGCCUCACCCAGCUCGAGAUCCUCGGGGCCUACCUCGGCACCUCCCUCUUCGUCCUCGUCGCCGUCUGGCUCCUCUCCGGUAAAAACAUUACCUUCCCCCAAUCCCGCCCCAGUCGAGAUCUCGCCGGCCGUCAGUCAGCUCACGCCUCCGCCUCCGCCUCCGCUGCGCAGGGAGAUGCCGCAGGUUGUCCGGCACCGACCGCCUGCUCAUGUGCUGGUGGGCGUUCACCGGCCUCACCCACAUACUCAUCGAGGGCCCCUUCGUCUUCACCCCCGAUUUCUUCACCAAGACCAACCCCAACUUCUUCGACGAAGUCUGUAAGUUGAUCUCCAGGCUGAUUCUUUCACCAACAACAGUCCCAAUUACUAGUCAAGUUUAGCUCCAAAUCUGGAUCGGUCAAGAUGGAGUUCUUGAGGUCGUUGUGUCUGCUCUCGUGUUUGUCCAGGGAAGGAGUACAGCAAGGGUGACUCCAGGUACGUCGCCAGGGACACCGCCACCGUCACCGUCGAAGGAAUCACGGCCGUGCUGAAAGGCCCUGCCUCGCUGCUCGCAGUGUACGUCUUCUCAUCUUGGCUACGAUGAUGCUUCAUACGAAGCAGCAGCAGCAGCAGCAGCUUGCUCUGUUUUCUGCAUUUUUCAGACAUGGUUCUGCAAAUGGGCUUAACUGCGUAGGAAGCCCCACUAAGAUUGCACACUUGAUUAUUCACCCCUUUCUUUCAGUAAGAUGAUAGUUCUCUUCGUCCUCUGAAUCUACAUUCACGAAAGUUCAGAAUUUGAUUUUGAUAAACAAUGCAAGUUCAUAAUUUUUUAUGAAACGUGCUACCGGUGGAUGCUUCAACAGAGCAUACAUUUGCAGUGUUGCUCAGAUCCGCAAGUAGUGUGUUGGUCCUGUAUUAACAACACUAGUGCUCUAUGUUUGCAUGAUAGGAUGCAUGAAAGAUAAUGGAAUUCUAACAGAUUGCAGGAUUCAUGAAAGAUGGAAUCGGUUUUCAUGUGUUUCUGGUGGACUGUUUUGCUGGCCCUGAAAUAAACAUGCAUCGUGAUGAUUUGAGUAUUUGACUGAAACUAGACGGUCCUGUUAGGGUUGGCAUAGCACAUUUUAGGCAAAAUUGGAGUGUUUAUCUGCCCAGUAUUCUUUCAAAAGUAUAAACUCCAUCAGCUUAGUAUUGUAUUUUACAAAAUGUAAGAACCACAUGAUGAUUUUGCAGAUUGAUGUUCUUGCAGAUAGUAGUUCUUGUUGAAUAAAUCAAUGUGCAAACAAACGAUUCGGUACCUUUUGUGUUUCUUGGUUUGCCUCAAAUUUAGAUAAGUUCGACCGCAAAGCAUAGCAAUACUAGGCACUAGCACUGUUUUUACUGAACCUGUUCCAGAGGUCUGAAGAAUCUCUCCUCUUGACAAUUUCAGUCUGAACUUGUUUAUAAAAAUGGCAAGCUCAUUUUCUUGCCUAGUACACAAGUCCAUCGUCGAUAUAGUUAAUCUGAAAUUUCAGUCCAGCUCCGCUGUUCAAACUUUUAUGAUGCACAAGCUUUACUUUCAUCUUACCACGAGUUUUCUCAUUGCAGCUAUGCCAUUGCAUCACGCAAGUCCUACAGCCACAUCCUCCAGUUCGCCGUGUGCCUCGGUCAGCUCUACGGAUGCAUCGUCUACUUCACCACCGCCUACUUGGACGGCUUCAACUUCUGGGCCAGUCCGUUCUACUUCUGGGCAUAUUUCAUCGGCGCAAACAGUUCAUGGGUUGUGAUACCGUUGCUGAUCGCCACAAGGAGCUGGAAGAGGAUCUGCGCAGCGAUUCAUCAAAGUGAGAAGAUCAAGACUAAGUAAUUCCUGCAGCAGACAGGAUUUGGUUGCAACCAGGACACACUGAACUUCUUAUUUUACGGCUAGAAAUUUGUUGGCUUAUAUUGUACCCUUUGCAAACUACAUUGCCUGAAACAAGUAUGUUGUACUACUGGAUUGUGUUGUAACAUCAAGGAGGGCGGCUGUUUAUUGCUGCAAAUGAAAAUUAUAUGCCACCCUUGCAUGGGCAAUCACCAUUGCACAUACUAUCAGGCAACUAGUAGUAAGAGGCCGGGUGUUGCUCAUUAUACUUUGUAUCCGAUUGAGACUAUAUUUUGAGUUAAUAAAAGCACCUUUUAUUUGGGGAAAAAAACUAACAGUCAGAGCUGCUAGUACAUUGGCUCCAUAGGUCCACUGCAUUAAGCAAAACCUCUGAAAUGCUACUACUGGGUCUGAAAUGAAACUCUACCCUAUCACACUAAUCAGCAAUCUUGCAGAUGUCCUCGUACUCGACAGCCUCGAGAACUCUCCCAUCAUAGAGGCCCUUCUCAACCCGCAGUUUGGCGGAGAACUUCUCCGUGUCCACCGAGAGCAACCUCGCGUUCGAUCCCCGGUAGGCGCCAUUGACGAUCCGCACAAGCCCGCCGAUCCGCGGGACGACGGUCUCAAGCUCAUCUUGGUCGACCCUGACGACAUGAUUGCUCUCCAGCAUCUCGAUCUCCCCGACGUACCUGUCUAUCACCCUCUUCACCAGUCCCUUGUGCUUGUAGUAAUGGUGCCCCUUCUCGGCUAGUGAUUUGCUCAUCACCUUGACCACGAUGCCGGGGCACAGCCAGUGGUCCUUCCGGUUGCUCCGCUCCUUGGCCUUCGCCUCCUCCUCCAUCAGAUCAUCAAUGGCUGACCUCCUCGUACCCGUUGAUUUCCCUGCGUCUUUCCCCUUGUUGUUGAUCACCUCCUCCUCCUCUUCAUCCAAGCCAAAUUUCAUCUCUGGCUUAACCUCAGGCGUUGCCGGAGCAGCGCGCCGGAGUGCGAUCGCAACCUUCCCGGUUGCCUUGUUGAACUCUUCUUGAUCAGCAUCGACUUGUUCCGAAUACGCUUCCUCAAUCUUCCCGAGGUCGCCAUUGUCAUCACCAUUGGCCUCGGCCAUGGAUUUCUUCUGGGCACGCUCGAUCUGCCGGGCAAUGACGAGCUCCUCGGACUGGACCCUCUUGCGCUUGAGCCCGGCCUUGGCGGCCUGCUCGGAGCCCCUGUCGACGUAGGCGAUGAACCAGCCCUUGGGCGUGUGCUCGACCCUGGCGAGGCCCUGGCGGCCGAGGAACUGGACGAACUCGGAGAGCGUGGCCCAGCGCGUGGAGUUCAUGUGCACGUGGCGGCGGUCGGCGACGAGCUCGUUGUAGACGACGGUGGCGGCGACGCGGGAGCCGCGGUGGCCGUGGCGGAGCAGGGCGAGGAACGCCUCGAGGAACUCGCCGGAGAAGCGCUCGUUGGCGCGGUCGGGGGCCUGGCCGAAGACGGCCAUCUGCCGCCGGUGCGACUCCGACGAGCAGUGGCACUCGAAGCCGUUCUCGUCGCGGCACUGCUUCUCGCACACCUGGCAGUACCACCGCAGCUUCUGCAGCCCCUUGCCUUCAUCCGGCUCGCCAUUGCCUUCAGCUCGCUCUUCCCCAUCCCGCCUGCGCUGCGCCGCCGGGGUACGUCGUGGGAGGAGGCGGCGUUCCUCUUCUCUUUUGUGGAGGGCUGGGAGGCGCCCGGCGGCCCGGUUUUGGGUCGGCGUAGGUGACUGGCACGUAUACUACUCGGACACGUACACGACAUGGAAAGCGUAUAGGAAGCCGUGGACUUCUCAAUUUUUUGUGCGAACGUUCAUUUCAUAAGAGCAUUUCCAACAGCCGCGCUAAGCGCCACGUGCAAAAAACCUGUUUACCGCGCGCGCUGCGGCUGGUUUUGCGCGCCCGCCUGCGCUCCAGCAGCCGCGCUAUAAUGCAGCGCGUGCCGCUCCAGCAAAGCGCAAAAAUACAGCGCGCGCGACUCGCCGGGCAUUUUGCAUAUAUGAUAUUUUGGACAAAAAUGAACAUAUGAAAUUUGACACAAACAAGUUGAUGAAUAAAAGUUCAUGCCCACAAGUUCAAAAUCAUGCCCACAAGUUCAUCCAACCAAGUUCAAAUGCAAACUAAAGUUCAAGACAUGAAAGACACAUCAAUCUUCAUCUUCCUCGUCUUCGUCCUCGUCCUCAUCUUCCGAAGACGACUCUUCCGCCUCCGAAGAUGAAUCUUCCUCCCUCUCCUCAUCACGCACCGCAUCAUGUGAGGCUCCGACGGUGUUGGCAAGAUUUUCAACGGCAUCUUCAUGGGAAUGUGUGUGAGAAGGCACAUCGAAAGAUAUUGCACCCAUGGCGGCCGGAGGUGCACCCAUGCCUCCCAUGAGAGAAGCAAAACUUAUGCCUCCCAUGGCGGCCAUAGCGUCGGAGGGUGCUCCAAAGCCACCCAUGCCUCCCAUGGCGGCCGGAGGUGCACCCAUGCCUCCCAUGGCGGCGGCGGCAGGGGGGUCGCCGCUGUGCAGCGAGGUGAGCGGGGCGCCGGUGUGCGCGUCCAUGGGUGGGUGGCAGGGCGCCGCGCCGGCGCGCGCGGGGCGUAGGACGAGGAGAGGAGAGAGUGCGGCGCGAGCGCUCGAGUGUGCCGCGCGCUGUAGCUGGCGCCCGAAAUACGCCGCGCGGGUAAGUGUUUUCAACCGCGUGCCCAACCCGUUAUAGCGCGCGCGCCGUUUUUGCGCGCCCGCUGGAGCGACCCGCCGCGUUGCGCGCGCGCUAAAACGGCCUAAUUUGCUGCGUGACGCUAGUUUAGCGCGGCUGUUGGAGAUGCUCUAAGCUAUUUUUCGUGCGCGACCCGGUUAUGCACCGUUGGAUCCGCCGCAUGGCUGCAGCAGAUGUGCUCGUGAUGAUCUCGUGCUGCUGCCAUGAUGAUGUGACUGACGCUUAUUCCUAAGUAGCAGUAAUCUAAACGGUCUUAUAUUUGUUUACAGGUAGAGUAUUUAUUAGGAUCCAACACAUUAGACAGUACCUUUUUUUUGAGUGAAUUUCAUUUUUACCUAUAAAUUCAUGUUUUUGACAGAUAUAACACCCGGGUUUUUUUCCGGCACACACAAGAGUUUUGUGUGUUGAUUCAUUAGGACUGGAAAGAUGUACAAUAAUUAGUUUACAGAAAGAUUGGAAAGACAGUACCCCAUUUAGUGAAAAUUCUCAAUUUAUACAGAAUUUAGGCAAGGUUUGUGAUACACUCUACUCCAUGUUUUCUCAAAAUUUGGUGUUGACUAUACGUGCCGCGUACAUGGUUUUAUUUUUUUCUCUGGUUUUUGGAUUUUUCUUGCACAGGGAAAAAAAGAACCGAACCAAACCACUGCGACAAAAAAAGAAGCCCCGCGGCAAGGGCUUGGGGGUGGAGUGAAAUUGGGCUUCCUUGUCCAUAACUUUCAAGGUGGUAUGAAAAAAGGAUAUUAUAAAUGAAUGGCAAACCUAGAAAACUAUGUUUCCUGUUAAGUACAACAACCUAUGUUUCCUGUUGAGUGGGAACACCAGUACGGUGCACAAACUAGAAGAAGUGAUGGGCAAGGAUCAAUGAAUAUUAAUCUUGUUUGGGACUUUUUUUUUGAAGAAGAUGACCCCCAACAUGUACAUCAGAACGAUGCAUGCAAUCAUAUAUUAUUAAUAAUGUAAAAUUCAGCAACCAAAUAACCUUGACCCGGAAAUAAAAUGGAAAACAAAUCUUGUGGCCGUAUACCUCGCGACAGUAACUCCCCAGAUAGCCACUAACCCUAUGUUAAGUAAGAUAAAAGUAUUUGCCUAGCGUGCUUUGCAUGGGAUUGUCCAUGGUAUGGCAGUACUAGCAAAUCGACAUAUUAAGGUACACCUGCAAUGUCCUGUGUGAGCAAGUAGCAGAAGAUAUACGCCAUUUGAUGUUCACAUGUAGAAGGGCAAAACAAAUGUGGACAGAACAGGGAAUGCAACCGUUAACAGAAGAAGUGAUUGAUUAAUAUUGACAGGUCAGGAGUGUUAUUCUUGAGGAGCUUCUCACACAGCCAGCGAGCCAUCCUCCCGUGCUUGGCCGAUUGGGCCUCAGGGAGUCUUUGGUCAUUGGCGCAUGGUAUACUUGGUGGCAACUGAGAGAGUUUGCGAAGGGAGAAAAAGUCCGUAAUCCUAUAAGUACUGCAUUCGUUAUCUAGGCAAUCACAAUUAAGUUCAGUCGAGCCACUAAUCUGAAGGAACCAGAGAAGGUGUUGUGAAAGAAACCUCCAGGUAAAUCGCAGAAGCUAAACAUCGAUGCAGCUUUUUUUGAGAAGGGUGCGACGGCUGUUGUUCUCCGAAACAGUCGUGGCGAGGCUGUGGCGGGGGCGUCGUGGCUGCUAAAUCAUCUCCAUGACACGACAACAGCAGAGGCGAUCACACUUCAGCGAGGGCUGGAACAGUUGGAAGACCUUGGAUGUCAACUGGUGAUUGUUGAAUCAGAUUCGCUGGAAAUUAUUCAAGCUUGCAAUGGUGUUAUUGAAAUCUAGAGCCCUUACUCUGUUAUUUUGAUGGAUUGCUUUCAAAAGGCUCUUCGUAUCGGUGUCGGUUUCUUUCACGCAUUGUUUUGAUUCGAACUCUACUUUUGUUUAGGACGGUGAUCCCCCGUUUUUUAAUUUCCGGUCAUUAUGGAUGAUGUAACUUUGAUUUCAGUUAAUAAAGUGCACCAAGUAGCUUUCUCUCCUAAGAAACACUGAUCUUAAUUCAAUCGUUAAAUAUGAAUUCAAACAUGGAAGUAACAUAGUAAAACACAGUGGUUUAAAGAUAGUAGACGUCUACAGGGCUAUACUAUACAUGGUAUGCAUGGGUUGAACACAUGGCAGUACUACAAACUAUUGCUUGGGUUCCAUGCUGCGCGUCCGGCGCCUCGACACGAAGUAGCGCACCACCAGAGUGACAAUGGCGGCUGUGGCUGCCACGGACCCGAGCACCGCGAUGAGUAUCACCCACCAUGACGUUCUCUUCUUGCCGCCGGCGUCUAACCUGUCCACCGUCAGGUCCCAGUCACGGACGCCGAGGAAGACAUCGCGGACCGUGGCGGCGAAGAACCCAACCAUCGCGGUCUGCGUGGUGCGCCGGCCGGCGAGAGAGAGCCGCGCGUCGAUGAGGGCUCCGGGCGGCCUCGGCUCCCCGCCAGCCGCGACGUACACGCGCAGGACGUGCGCGGCGGUGUCGUACUCGACCCACACGGCCACGGCGCGGCGGCCGUUGGGCGUGACGGUGCCGUUGAGGCCGACGUACGGGGACUCCGGCUCGUACGACCUCACCGCGCCGACCUCGACCGCGGCGAGGCCGCUGGCCGUGGCGUUGGCGUCGGGCACGGCGUCGGCCGAGCCGUUGGCGCCGCGGAGGCGCGUCCGGCUGUUGAACAGCGGGAACCUGUCGAGGAGGAGCACGAAGGAGACGGGGGUGGCGGAGCUCUCCACCGUGAAGCUCGUGUUGAAGGACGCCUCGCGCGCAGGCAGCAGCCCACCGCCCGCGCCCGCGCGCCAGACGUCGACCGUGUCCGGGAGGAGCAGGAAGCCCUCGGACACGUUGAUGCUGGCCGCGGUGGAGUCGAUCUCGGGCUGGAAGAGCAGCGCCGCCGGCCCGACCACGGUCGUGUUCGUGGCGGCAACCAGGCUGGCCGUCGUGGUGGCGUUGAAGACGGGGAAGCUGUAGGACUCGACGCCUGCCACCGCCGCCAUGAUCGUCGCCGCCAUGAAGAGCAGCAGUAUUAGAGCUAGACCCACGAGCUUACCAGAAGACGCCAUUAGCUAUGUUGAUCGGGUAUUAGUCGGAUACACAGACAUUUGUCACGAGAUUCGGAGGGGUUUUAUAGGCUGACAAAGCCGAGAAAAUGAAUGACGGGGUGUGGUGGUCAAACAUGGGGAGGAAACGUCGACGAAUUUUACUGCAUGCGUGCCCUUGGGGACUGAAUGGGAAAAGUCUGAAUAAAACCUUGAACUCGUACUUCCCGUCGAAAUUGAACCCUUACCUUUUAAUCCCUAAAAUCAGUACACCGUACUCAUUAAUCUCAGUCAAUCCUAACCUUGCAAAAUUCUAGACUAGUUUGGUGCACUAGAAAAACGCAAUCCCCACCAGGAUCAUCCUCUUCUCUCACUAACUUGGUGGAGCUACAGUCAGAUCCAUCAAUCUGCAUCUGCAUGACGCGCGCACACACAAUGAAACGACGUGGCAGCUCCGGGAGUGGUUGUGCGACGGCAGAUGAGGGGCUUGCCGGCCAGUGGCGUGCAGCCCUGGGAAAGAUCUUUACCUAGCUGAUUGAGCGCACGAGAGCUUGCAGAGCGCAGCUUCACGGAGAGGAAAUGAGGAAGACGACAACAAUGGCGGCGGUGCUUGAUCGAGCGAGUGGCUGGUGUCGUCGUAGUAGCUAGCCCGACAUGCUAACGACGAUGGUGGGUGGAGCACGAGAAACGCGAGAUCCACAUGGACAUAGCCGUCCGUAGCGUACGCACGCGUCCAGGCUAGGCAGUGUCCCCGCGGGGCGUGAGUGUUCCACCGAGUUGUGCUACUCCAGAAGCCCAGAUCGACCAAGCAUCUAGUGGAUAGUAGUUUGCUGCACGUGGAAAAGCUAGCUAGCCUCAAGGAUCCAUCGGGUGCUUUCUCUACACUUGCGUACGUGCAUAUUCAAGUUCGACCAAUCGAUCAACCAUUCGUCAGUUCAGUAGUUAGGAUCUUGGGGCAGGCCAUGACAAAGCCUAGGAAGUUGAGCGCGGGCCGGCGGCCUAGGCGCCCCACAGCGCCAAUGAGGCGACGCCACACACGGCGGCAGCCAUCUCCGGCGUCUAGUACGAUCAAAGCUCCCAGACCUCUCCCUGCCCCUUCAAUUCUGGCUGGCCAUCUCGCUUCUUUUUCUUAUCGCAGACGUUUCAACAAAGGAGAGAACGACAGGGAGGAAGAGGUAGAGGAGAGGGAUGGAUAUGACAUGCGGACCCGUAUUGUCGGUGAGAGUAGCAGGUGAACCCAGUUGGGAUUGCCUUUUUUCCAAUGUGCCAAACAGGUUGAAAGUCGAUAUUAACCGGGAUUGACAAGUAUAGGGUGCCGAUUUCAGGGAUUAGAAGGUGAGGGUUUAAUUUCGACAGGGCAUACGAGUUAAAGGUUUUUUUCAAACUUUACUCGGACUGAAAACCCGCAAACUUACUAGUAGCUAGGAUUAGUACUAUAGCAACUUAUAUUAACAUAAAAAUGGAUUAGAAGCGUACUUAGUGGAACCUGGCCAGAUGCUGGAAGUCGUAUGGAAAAGGUAGCACUUGCUAAUUAGCAAGUGUCACGUGAUCAAUUAACAAUAAACAAGAUUAGUUGCUUUGUUGGAGUAAUGUGUUACGGGUAGGCCAACCCAAGGCCCAUAACCUUUUAAGACAUCGAGGCAGGCAGCGCCCCUCAAGACCACAGGGCGAAGAGCCGCCUCCUGGGGAGUCUACGGCAAGGCGGCCGACUGCCCGCUCACGGCCGAGUCCCAGGGGCGACUUCCAGAGGAGCCGGCUUUGGGGAGUCGGCCGGCGACUCCAACAAACCGUGACCUCAUCGAGGGGGACGGGGAAGGGGCGUGGCUACAAUGAAGCCCACUCCCCGCCCCUUACCAAGGGCAGGCAUGGCUACAGCGCGCCGUACUAGGGAAGAUCUCCUUGCGGCGUGGCACUGUUGCCCAGCCGGCCCUGACAUCAGCAUCACUGUAUCUGGUCCUGCGCCCACGACGACUUGUCUGUACGGCCUGGAGGCAGCGUGGCCCACCAGUCAGCGAGACCUCGGGAGACGGUGGGAGAACCGCCAGUCGGACCCGUCGGGAGUCGGCCCGGGGGAGUCGGCUGAGCCCUCCCCCGGGGCCCACGCGCCAUUAAUCAAGAAGAGAUGGGGAGUGGCCACAGUGAUCGCCCGCCAGGCGGCGGGGCUGUUGCCAGGACCCCAUGAUCGAGCUUGCGUCAUCAGGAGCACAGCUACAGUAAUCAGCAGCCGGCGAGACCCGCCCGCGGCGGACGCGGCCUGUCGGCUCCGUACCAGACCAGUCGGCGGGGCCCACCAUUCGGCGGGCCCCAGCGGUCGGCGGAGAAGCCGGAGGUCGGAGGCACUUACGGCUGGGCCCGCGCCCAGUCGAAUUACCAUUGUACCCCUGGGGGUAGGCCUAUAUAAACCCCCCAGGGCACCCAUGCAAAGGGUUGGAUUCCAGUAGUUCUAUACCACACCAGAUAGAGGAAGAGAGCUAGCCUUGCCCUCUCCUACCACCAGACACGGCUCAAGAAGCAACUGUGUAAACACUUGACCGUAGUGAUCAUGCGGAGACCCCGCAGAGCAGCAGUAGGGGUAUUAUCUCCCCGGAGAGCCCCGAAGCUGGGUAAGAUUCGCCGGCGUGCAUGUCUUCGCCUCAUCCCGUUUCCAGGCACCGACGACGUUCUACUCGCCCCCACCAUGAUAAGCCAUCCAUUGGCAUAUGUCGCACCAAACCCCUGACAUUUGGCGCCCACCGUGGGGCGUGGUGCACCGCCGUCCGGAGAUCUGUUCUGGACGGGAAUGGACGGGAACCCUUUUUCUCCCUGGCGAGCGCAGCCAGCCAGGCACGCCAGACGAAGUCUGCGUCGACGCGCUGCGUGGCGUUGAGAUCGCCUGCGCAGCCAGCUCCUUGUUCGAACUUGUCGGCGAGGUCCGCCUCUCCGACGAAUCUGCGUCCGACGCAGGCGCAGGCGGCCCCGAAAACCUCCUCGCGGGCCUCCUCGAUCAACUCCAUGUUUCCGGCGAGCCUGCCGUGGACUUGGAGUCCGUAGGCUCCACCGACCCGAUGCUGGUCGACUCCGACACCGCGUCGGUCGACGCGUUCCCCACCAACGUGGUGGUCUACGAUGAACCUCUCCCCCACGCGGAGAGAGACGGAAGCACCGUCACUGAGGUGCUGGUCAUCAGUCAUGACGAGUUCCCUGGUGGAAGGGCGCCCGACUCACUCGGCGCGGCGCUGCAAGACCUAGCUGCGCCCAUUCCGGAAGAUGCUAACGCAGAGACGUUAGAAGCGCGCCGCCUUCAACAAGUUGGCGCGCCGCCUUCAACAAGUUGACGCAGAGACCUAGCUGCGCGAAGAAGCUAGCCAGCAUGAGACGCUUGUCAGAAGCUUACCAGCGGGAGAUGGAUCGCGCUGUUGGCGGCUCGCCGGUCCCGGCAGGGCCCAGCCGCCUUGGCGCAGUUCAGCAGCGCGGCGUAGCCAUCGCCAGCCUGUUUGCGGCUAGCCGCCCCGUGUAUGCCAUGCCAGCGGAGAACAUCCGAGCCGCCCAGGCAGCGGCGGAUGAGCUGGACAAUUUCGAGGGCAAAGAGCGCCGCCUCAUGAUGGAGCGAGUCCAGCGGCUCCUCGACGGGGCCGCCCCGCAAAACAAGGCGGGCUGCCGCACGGAGGCGCCGCAGCGGCCAAACAACGACCCGCACCGAGAUCAAGGCGCGACGUCUCGGACGCCGACUGGCGGUGCCCGAGGAAGGAAGGACAAGGAGCCGGCUGUCAGCCACAGUCGGACUCGGAUUACCAUAGAGCGCGACCGAGACGGCCGCCCGAGAGCAGUGGAACGACGGGACGACUGUCCGCCUCCCCCUCCCCGCAAGGAGAGGCGAGUCUCCCCGCCGCCUGUUGACCAUCAGACUCUCGGUGACCGCCUUGGCCGCCGAGAGGGAGUUGGAGAGAAUGACGCCCGCCACCGGAUCGACCGACUUCACCGGUCCCUGGUGCUGGAAGAAGAAGACGAGCUGGGUCCGCCUUGUUUCGGGCCACGCAUUCGGGACGAGCCCUUUCCCAAAGGGUUCACGCUCCCAAGAGACACGCCCAAGUAUACCGGCUCCGUGAAGCCGGAAGACUGGCUAGUCGACUACUCCAUGGCUGUCAGUAUAGCAAACGGCAACAAGCGUGUCGCCGUAAAGUACAUUCCGCUCAUGCUCCAGGGCACGGCCCGGACAUGGCUGAACAGCCUAAAGCCCCGCAGCAUCAACAGUUGGGUCGACUUCACCGAAGCGUUCGUCCGCAACUUCACCAGCACGUACAAGCGUCCUCCCAAGCCUCGUCAGCUCUCCUUGUGCAUGCAAGGUCCUGACGAGUCGACGCGCGACUACCUCACGCGUUGGGCUGAGCUCCGGAAUUCCUGCGAGGGUGUGCACGAGGUGCAGGCCAUCAAGUACUUCACAGCCGGGUGCCGAGAAGGCACCCUCCUCAAGCACAAGCUCCUCUGCGACGAGCCAGAAACCCUCGACGAGCUGCUGAUCAUAGCGGACAAGUACGCUACGGCCGACUCCUCCAUGAAGACGGAAAUUCAAAUCAGCACGACUGGCAAAGUAGCUCCUCAGGCUCCAAGAACUCCGGCAGCAGACGCCGGCCGGCGACAACAGCAGGGCGACAACAAGCGCAAGGCCCCGCAGCCGGCUUCCAGUAGCCGGCAGGUCGCGACCGUCGAAGCCCAGCAGCUAGAAGAGAAGCCUCCGCCCAAGCGACAUAAAGGCGGCAAGCCAAACUGGUUGCCGGCCUUCUCCUACGAGCAGACCUUGGAUGGACCUUGCAAGUUCCACAGCGGCGCGAAGCCGUUGAAUCACACCACCCGGAAGUGCCACUGGCUCACCAGGAUCGCCAAGGGAGACGACCUCCUGCCACCCCCACCUGCUGGGCAGCCGCCUCCGCCCCAGCAGCCGGCAGUCAGGCCAGUUGGCGCAGUACAAGACGAAUACCCUGAAGAGCAUGGAGCCUACGUGGUGUUCACCAGUGUGGCUGAUGAUCGACGCAGCAGGCGGCUGCUGCGACAAGAGGUGAACGCAGUAGCCUUAGAGACGCCAGAGUUCAUGCACUGGUCUGAGAGGCCUAUCAGCUGGAGCAGGGCUGACCAUCCAGAAGUGAUGCCGAGUCCGGGAUCCUACGCGGUCCUGGACGCAACCUUUGCCACGGACAAACGGGCCGCGCGUUUCUCGCGAGUUCUGAUAGAUGGGGGCAGCAGCAUCAAUAUCCUGUACAAGGACACCAUGGAAAAGUUAGGAAUCAAGUAGAGACAGCUUCAGAACAGCCGGACUGUGUUCCACGACAUUGUUCCUGGGCUUUCCUACUCACCAAUCGGCAAGAUCCUGAUUGACGUCCUCUUUGGGGACAAAGAUCACUUCCGAAGAGAGUCUGUUUGGUUUGAGGUAGUGGACCUUGAGAGCCCAUACCAUGCAUUACUUGGCCGGCCCGCCUUGGCCAAGUUCAUGGCGGUCCCCCACUACGCCUACCUCAAGAUGAAGAUGCCCAGUUCCAGGGGAAUUCUGACUGUGGCCGGCGACUACCGGAAGUCUUCCGCUUGCGCGGCCGAGAGCAGUCAGCUGGCCGAGUCCCUGGUGAUUGCAGCCGAGAAGCGACUCCUUGAGCGAGUUGUGGCGAUGGCCGACAAGCAGCCGGAGAUAUCGCCCGACCCGAAGGAGUCGGAAGCCGAAGGUUCGUUCAAGCCGACCAAAGAGACAAAGAAGAUACCCUUGGAUCCAGAGCACCCAGAGAGGUACGCCGUCGUAGGUGCAAACCUCGACAGCAAAUAGGAAGGCGAGCUCGUCGAUUUCCUUCGUGAGAAUCGGGACAUCUUCGCAUGGUCUCCCAAGGACAUGCCAGGUGUACCGACGGAUUUCGCCGAGCACAAGUUACACGUCCGAUCUGAUGCAAAGCCGGUUAGGCAGCCCCUGCGCCGCUUAUCAGAAGAGAAGAGAAGAGUUGUCGGAGAAGAGAUAGCCCGACUCCUAGCAGCCGGCUUCAUUAUGGAAGUUUUCUUCCCGGAGUGGCUGGCAAAUCUGGUCCUGGUGCUAAAGAAGAACAAGCAAUGGCGAAUGUGUAUUGACUACACGAGCCUCAACAAGGCCUGCCCCAAGGACCCGUUUGCUCUGCCGAGAAUUGAUCAGGUGAUAGACUCCACAGCCGGAUGCGAGCUGUUGAGUUUCUUGGAUGCGUACUCAGGAUAUCACCAGAUUAAGCUGAACCCAGCUGACAGAUUGAAGACCGCCUUCAUCACGCCGUUUGGAGAAUUCUGCUACCUCACCAUGACGUUCGGCUUGAGGAAUGCCGGUGCCACCUUUCAGCGUUGCAUGCAGAAGUGCCUCCUCAAGCAGCUAGGCAGGAACGCCCGCGUUUAUGUGGACGACGUGGUGGUGAAGACAGAAAAGUGAGGAACAUUGCUGGAAGACCUCAAGGAGACCUUUGAGAACCUGCGCCGGUUCCAGAUCAAGCUCAACUCCGAGAAGUGUGUCUUCGGAGUACCAGCCAGCCAGCUGGUAGGUUUCCUGGUCUCUGAACGCGGCAUAGAAUGCAACCCAGUAAAAAUCAAGGCAAUCGAGAGAAUGGAGGUACCUAGCCGACUGCUGGAUGUGCAGAAGUUCACCGGCUGCUUGGCGUCCAUCAGCCGAUUCAUCAGUCGGCUGGGCGAGAAAGCUCUCCCCUUAUACCAACUCAUGAAGAAGACCACUUUUUUCGAGUGGAACCAUAAGGCGGACGAAGCUUUCCACCAGUUGAAGAAGAUACUGACUACUCCACCCGUCCUGGCGGCUCCGACUCCCAAGGAACCUAUGCUCCUGUACAUCGCCGCCACCAGCCGAGUAGUCAGCACAAUCAUUGUAGUAGAGCGUAAGGAGGAAGGCAAGGCGCUACCUGUCCAGAGACCAGUAUAUUACCUGAGCGAGGUACUGUCGACCUCCAAGUAGAACUACCCCCACUACCAGAAGAUGUGCUAUGACAUGCACUUUGCUGCCAAGAAAUUGAAGCCUUACUUUCAAGAGCAUCCAAUCACGAUGGUCUGCACGGCUCCACUUGCCGAGAUCAUCGGUAGCCGAGAUGCCUCUGGUCGAGUGGCCAAGUGGGCCAUAGAGCUGGCUCCUUACACCAUCUACUACCAGCCCCGCACCGCUAUCAAAUCACAAGCACUGGCCGACUUCCUCGUUGACUGGGCCGAGACCCAGUACCUGCCUCCAGCGCCUGACUCCACCCAUUGGCGGAUGCACUUCGACGGCUCCAAGAUGCGCACCGGCUUGGGAGCCGGCGUCGUCCUCACCUCUCCCAAAGGCGACAAGCUCAAAUAUGCACUACAAAUCCAUUUUGCCGCCUCCAACAACGUGGCCGAGUACGAGGCGCUCAUUCACGGGCUCCGUCUUGCCAAAGAAUUUGGCAUCCGCCGGAUCCUGUGUUAUGGCGACUCGGACUUAGUGGUCCAGCAGUCAUCUGGCGACUGGGACGCGAAAGACGCAAACAUGGCGAGCUACCGUUUCCUCGUGCAGCAACUCAGCGGGUAUUUUGAAGGGUGCGAGUUCCUCCAUGUGCCAAGAAACGACAACGACCAAACAGACGCCUUAGCACGAAUCGGCUCUACCCGCCAAGCAAUACCAUCUGGCAUCGCCCUUCAACGCCUCCUCAAGCCGUCUGUCAAGCCUUCACCAGAAUCAGACUCCAUUUUCAUACCGGCUCCUCCCGAAGACGGCGGAUCCGACUCCAGAGCUCUGGCAGUCGGAACGGGGACUUUGGCGGGCGACUCCAAAGCUGCCACAGUCGAGCCCGGCCCGGGGACUGCGGUGACGGACUCGAAGAUUCCAGAACUCGGCCCAAGGACCGCGCCAGUCGGCCUGGGGACUUCAUCAGCCCAGCAAGCGGCUGUUGACUCCAGCCCGCCGCCUCCCAGCCCAGCCUCCCUCGUUCAAGUCGCAGUUCUGGUAGUCGAAGAAAUAGCAGCACCCUCAUGGGCCCAGCCCAUCCUCAAAUUCCCGGUGAACAAAGAGCUACCAACUGAUGAAACCUCAACUCGGCAAGUACAACGCCGGGCGGCAGCCUAUACCAUAAUCAACAGAGAGCUGGUUAGGCGCAUCGUCACUGGUGUCUACCAGCGCUGCGUAGAGCCAGAGCAAGGCCAGGUGAUCCUCAAAGACAUCCAUCAAGGCGAAUGCGGCCACCAUGCGGCUUCAAGAGCACUCAUCGCCAAAGCUUUUCGGCACGGUUUCUUUUGGCUGACUGCCUUGGAAGAGGCCAAGGAGUUGGUCCAAAAAUGCAAAGGGUGCCAGAAGUUCAGCUCCAAGCCGCACCAGCCGGCUUCCGCGCUCAAGACCAUCCCCAUUGCUUGGCCUUUCGUAGUUUGGGGUCUAGACAUGGUGGGACCGUUCAAGACAGCACGAGGUGGUCUAACUCACCUACUUGUCGUAGUGGACAAGUUCACCAAGUGGGUGGAAGUGAAGCCAAUUAAGAAACUGAACGGUCCGACUGCUGUGAUCUUCAUCACCGAUAUCACAAUUCGGUACGGCAUACCACACAGCAUCAUCACCGACAACGGCACAAAUUUUGCCAAAGGCGCCUUGGCCCGUUUCUGCGCAACACAGGGCAUCUGACUGGACCUAGCGUACGUCGCCCACCCGCACUCAAACGGCCAAGUGGAGCGAGCAAACGGCCUCAUCCUGUCCGGCAUCAAGCCUCGGUUGAUCGAGCCUCUGGAGCGCUCGGUUGGCUGCUGGCUCGACAAGCUGCCAGCCGUCCUCUGGAGUCUGCGCACGACUCCAAAAAAGUCAACGGGCUUAACGCCCUUCUUCCUCGUCUACGGUGCCGAAGCCGUCAUCCCAACGGACAUAGAGUUCGACUCCACACGAGUCACCAUGUCCACCGAGGAGGAAGCAGAAGAAGCACGACAAGACGGCGUCGAUUUGCUGGAAGAGGGCCGGCUGUUGGCACUCAGCCGGUCCAGCAUCUACCAGCAGAGCCUGCGCCGAUACCACAACAGGAAGGUCAGGCCAAGAUCUUUCCAAGAAGGCGACCUUGUGCUCCGGCUAAUCCAGCGAACAGCCGGCCAGCACAAGCUGUCGCCGCCUUGGGAAGGCCCUUUCAUCAUCAGCAAAGUACUAGGCAACGAUUCCUACUAUCUGAUCGACGCUCAGAAGCCCCGAGCACGCAAGAGGGACGACUCCGGCAAGGAGACAGAGCGGCCAUGGAAUGCAAAUCUUCUCCGAAGAUUUUACAGUUGAUGCAGUAUGUACCACGCUACCUUUUGUAUUAAAGUACCAAGACUUCGGGCCCCCCAAGACGAGCUCGGGGACUGCCCUCUUUUGUCUGUAUGAUAAAAAUUAUGCCUACAAGUAUGUUACUCUUUGUCAUGCCGUUUGGCACCGGGCUCAACAAGUCGGCCCGGGGACUUGCCGCCUUGCACUAUGAAAUGCUUCCUGCAGCCGGACAAGUAGUGUGUAGCACCUAAGCCGUCUUCUGUCAGAAGCCGCAGCUCGCAGAGCGACUGUACGGUGGGCAGAGGUAAGGUAGAAUGGGUGUUCGCAUGAAUAAUGGCUAAGGACUCAAAGCAUAAAACAUAGCUCAAGACGACUUCCAGACUUUCUCGCAAACCGACUCUCGGACAGUCGGAUUGUCGUUUUCUAUCCAACUUGCUCAAACAAUCUUGAAAUCGGCUAAGUACUUGCUUUUCCAAAGUAGCCUAGCACUUGAUCCAGCAACAGUCCGCAGAGAGGCUGUCCGAUUGGCAAGGCAGGCAACUAGGAGAAAGCGGCAAAGGAAAACNNNNNNNNNNNNNNNNNNNNNNNNNNNNNNNNNNNNNNNNNNNNNNNNNNNNNNNNNNNNNNNNNNNNNNNNNNNNNNNNNNNNNNNNNNNNNNNNNNNNNNNNNNNNNNNNNNNNNNNNNNNNNNNNNNNNNNNNNNNNNNNNNNNNNNNNNNNNNNNNNNNNNNNNNNNNNNNNNNNNNNNNNNNNNNNNNNNNNNNNNNNNNNNNNNNNNNNNNNNNNNNNNNNNNNNNNNNNNNNNNNNNNNNNNNNNNNNNNNNNNNNNNNNNNNNNNNNNNNNNNNNNNNNNNNNNNNNNNNNNNNNNNNNNNNNNNNNNNNNNNNNNNNNNNNNNNNNNNNNNNNNNNNNNNNNNAAUAGAGGUUCAAAAUACACCCCGCGGAUGGAAUUGUGCGAAUUAACAAGUUCUUCAAAAGACUACUGAAGCAGGUAAAACAAAAGACACAACGGCGGCUUAGGAGGCGGCAGAUGGAUUCGGGGGGUCGAAGGAGGCGCCAGCGUCAGGCGUCGGGGCGGUCGGCCGGCUAGUCUCGGCUUGAUCGCCUCCGGCAGCAGUCGGGUCGGUCGCACGCGGCUCAUUGCUGGAGGCGUGGUCGGGCUGAGGCUGGUCGUCUGCUCCGUCUUCUGGUGCCUCCACCUCGCCCUCAUCCUCCGCCUCGUCCUCCUCCUCGACGCUGGAGCCAAUCACCUCCGCCGAGUCUUCGUCGUAGUCUGGGUUCAUCCCAAACCACUCUGGCGGUACCUCCUCACCGUCUUCAGACCGCUCGGUGACGAAGAUGCUCGUGUCGGUGUACUCGGCGAUCGCUGUAGCACGCUUGACAAGGGCGUCUUCCGCAGCCGCCAGCUUCGGCUGGGCCUCCGACCGAAGCGUGGCCAACCGGUCUAGAUCCAGCCCCGGGUACCACGCCUUGACAAACUCCAAGGCCCAGCGCGCUCCAACCCGGGCCGAAGAGCCCUUCCAGGCCUCGAGGCGACCAGCCGCGACCUCCAACCAGUUGGCCGUCAGGCUGGGGGUGCGCGGAGCCUGCAUAUCCGGCUAAAGGGCGGAAAUCGCCUGGGCGGCGACGCGCUGAAGCCGGCGCAACAUCCGAUGAGCCGGCCGGAGGCGAGCCUCGAUGCUCAACAUGUGUUCAUCAAGAGUUCGGGGGGCAUCGGCAGCGAUCUCCGCGCCCUCCGCCCUCCGACUUUCACGAUCGGCCUCGAUGGCUUGGAUAGCGGCUUGCGACUGCCCAGGGAAGAAGUCUGCAAAAGACACGAAGAAACGAAAAAGCAAGUCAAAAACCAGGAGUCGGCACGAUCUAAGUCGGCAGCUCGAAGAAAGAAAAUAAAGAGACUCACCAUCAACGAUGUCUUCAAUCUCGUGGAAGCCGGAGGACAGCAGCGCCUCCUUGUCAGACCAGGAGGAGCGCUCGCUCACGAACUCGGCCAAGAGGGUGGUUUCCGUCUCCUCCGCCUCCCUCUGCGACUUCGCAAGCAGCUCCUUCUACUCUGCCAACUGAGUGGCCAGCAGAUCGCGUUCUGUGGCGAGCCUGCUGCACUCCUCCCCUUUGGUGAGCAGGGCGGAGUUGGCUUCGCUCAGCUGUUGUUGAAGAGCAGCGUUGGCUCCCGAAGGAAAGGAAGAAAGACAACAGUCGUCAAUAAAGUAAGUCGCCGGGGAGAUCCGGCCCGACUGCUCAGCAGUCGGCCCGAAUUUCGGGGACUACAGCCCGCGGGUGCGCUAGCGCGCCCCCGUAGAGAAGAAAAAAGAGAGAAGGACUUACUCCGGCUCUCCGCCAAGUCGGCGGUCUGCUUGCCCAGCUCUUCAACAUUGCGGUUGAAGGCAGUGACGCGGAGGUUGUGGUAAUCCUGCAACAAGCAUCUCAGACAAAGUUAGUACCCAGAAGUUCAUCAAUUGGAGUUCCGGGCCGCCUGCUCAGCAGCUGGCCCGAAACUCGGGGACUACACUCAGUGGGUGCGCUGGCGCGCCCCCACAGAGAGGAACAAGAAAAACAAAGGCCCAAAGAAAAAACGUACCCGGACGGCUGCCCGCGACGCUAGGAACGCCUUGGUGCAACUCUGGAGGGCGUCGCCCUCAGCGCGGAGCUUCGCCUGGACGUCCAGGAGCGCCCGGUUCAGCGGCCCUGUGCCGCCUCCUCGCACCCACCCAACAGGUGCGGCGCUCGUCGCUUCAGCGUUUGGAGCCGCCGAGCUGGCGGUGCCGGCUUCCAGGGGGCGGGGUGCCGAAGUCGCCUUCUCCAGACGAUGGCGCGCUGGCAAGCCGACUUGGAGGAGUAGCCUUGCCACGGCAUCGUCUUCGGUCGGUGGCAUCGGAGGAUCCGCUGGCUGCUCUCCUUGCACGCCUUCAGACGGCGGUGGAGGCGACGGCGGAACGUUUGCGCCCGGAGUAGAGGGCUCGCCACCUUCCCUCUCCUCGACGAGGUUCUCCCCGCCGGCUCCUCCAGUCUGCCCCGUGAACUCCGGGAGCGGCGGCAUAGAGUUCAGCGGGGUAACAAGCAAGGCCGACUGGUGGCGUGCGGCUUCCUCAGCCUGUUGCUUCGCCGCGGCGGCGGCCUCGGCCUCCGCUAGUUUUUUCUUGGCUGAGGCCUCCGCCCUGUCGGCCUCCGCCUUCUCCAGGCGGAGGGCUUCUUCUUCAUUGCGCUUCUCCUGCGCAUUUCGCUCCGUCGCCUCCCGGAGGUCGGCAGCGGGGUCUACCGCCGAGUGGUGGCGGGCGUCUCCGCUGACCCCAUGACGGAGGCGGCGACGACCCGCUCAAGAGAGAGGGGAGCCCUGAAGAAAGAGGGGCGAGCAGAGACUCAGACAAAACACGAAGAAAGAAUAAACUUCGAAGUCAGAAUACUUACGCAGAGACCAACGGCGGCUUCUUCACUUCCUUACGGAAGCGGAUGGCCUUCGCGGCUGCCUCAUCCCGCCGGGUCGCCGCAGCCGAGCCAUUGGGCUUCUUCGGCCGACUGGCGAAUAAAGUCGGCGCAGCCCGACGCUUCUUCCCGCCGCCUGGAGCGCCCGACGCGGCAGAAGAGCCCGCGCCCGGCUGGCUGGCUCCUGGCCGGUGGCGAGGGGCGAAUCCUCCCUCGGCGUUGUCUUCAGGCCAGUCGGCGAAGGUAGCCGAGGGCCUGAAGUCGCCUGUCGUCCCUCCUCCUCCCUCGGCGUCGUCUUCCAGAGCCGCCACCCCCAGAUCGGGGUCGUCGAUGUCGCUCUCCGCCCGGUCGGCGACGAACUCACGGGCCGGCCCUGAGGUGCCGGCUGGUGGGUGAAGGAGGGGAUUCUAACCAAAAGCAGACUGAUCAGAACAAAACUCGGCAAGAAGAAGACAAUCCAAAGAAAGGAAAGAAAGGCGGCUCACCACGGGCGGGGGGUUGGCGCGGGAGUAUGGCUCCUUGCCGAAUCGCCAGUCCUCCGGGAGCCUGCUGUCCGAGAGGUAGUUCACCAUCAGGGCCACCUCUUCGUGAGGCAUGUCCUUGGUGCACAUCCGACUCGGGUCGCGGCCCCCGCUCAUCUGGCAUAUCAGGUGAGGGCAGCCUUGGAGUGGGAGAACUCGGCGCGAGACGAAGGCGGCUAGCAGGUCCGGACCAGUCAGACCCUCUGACUGCGUCAGCACUCGGAGUCGAGUGAUGGCGCCGGCUCCCGCAGGCGUCAGCGACCUGGCCCGGUACGACCAGUUGGGCAGUCUGCCAGCCGGCGGGCCGGCUUCGAAGGCCGGCAGAUUAACCCAGUCGCCCCUCGUGGCGAUGUUCCUGACGUAGAAGUAGGACCGCUGCCACAUCUUCACCGACUUCAACAGCGAGAUGGAGGGGAAGUGGUUGUCGGCUCCUGUCCUUCGCACGGCGAUGAAGGCGCCGCACUGAGCCGGCACGCCUGCGGCCUGGGUGCCGAGCUUGGAGAAGAAGAACUCCCUCCAGAGCUCGAGGGUGGGGAGGACUUCGAGGAAGCCUUCGCACAGAGCCACGAAGGCGGACAGCAGCACCACUGUGUUGGGGGUGAGGUGGUGUGGUUGGAGGCCGUAGAACUCCAUGAACGACCGGAAGAAGCUGCUCGCCGGCAGCCCCAGCCCGCGCAGGCAGUGCGAGCGGAAGAUGACCCGCUCGCCCUCCUGCGGGGCGGGGGAAAUCUCCCCUUCCGACGCAAGACGCACCUGCAGGCGGUCUUCGCCGGGAAGCUGACGGGUCCGGCGGAGGAACUCGAUAUGGUCUUCGUGGACUUCAGAGCCGUCCCAGGUGCCGGAGCGCACUGGGGGAGGCGCGACAGCGGAGGAAGAGCUCAUCGCGAGCUGUCACCGCAGCGUUCGCCGGAGCCUGGGCGUGCGGUGGAGCAAAGAAGAGAAGAGGAAGCAGGAGAGCGAGGAGCUGCGAGGAGGAAGAAAGCAAGAGGUAGUGGGAAGGAGGGGCGCGUGUGCCCCCCUCUUCCCCCUACUUAUAACCCCGUGGGCUGUGAAGCCGAGGGGGCGGACGUGGGGAUUUACUGUGCCCGCAACCCCACGCCCCCAUGAUCCACGUAAAGUUACUGCGCGCAGUAACUUCACGGGAAUCCCAACCGUCCACCGGGCCGCAGCGGAUCCGCUCGGGCGCCGAGGUGCGGUAGUGGCGGGCCCCGCCUACGGGCCUGUCCCGUCGCGCGCGUGGGCUGGCAGGAUGGCCUGGCCACGUGCCCUCGGUGACAGGCCAAGAACGGGCGGACGCGGCCUGUCGGCUCCGUACCAGACCAGUCGGCGGGGCCCACCAGUCGGCGGGCCCCAGCGGUCGGCGGAGAAGCCGGAGGUCGGAGGCACUGACGGCUAGGCCCGCGCCCAGUCGAAUUACCAUUGUACCCCUGGGGGUAGGCCUAUAUAAACCCCCCAGGGCACCCAUGCAAAGGGUUGGAUCCCAGUAGUUCUAUACCACACCAGAUAGAGGGAGAGAGCUAGCCUUGCCCUCUCCUACCACCAGACACAGCUCAAGGAACAACCAUGUAAACACUUGACCAUAGUGAUCAUGCGGAGACCCCGCAGAGCAGCAGUAGGGGUAUUAUCUCCCCGGAGAGCCUUGAAGCUGGGUAAGAUUCGCCGGCGUGCAUGUCUUCGCCUCAUCCCGUUUCCAGGCACCGGCGACGUUCUACUCGCCCCCACCAUAAUAAGCCAUCCGUUGGCAUAUGACGCACCAAACCCCCGACAUGCUUCAUUCUCUUUGUCAUUUAUUUGACUACUAGUGGCCUUUGUUUCUACUACAUACAAGGACUUCCACGAGAAAUCAACAUUGGCCAUGGCGCAGAACCCACCGAGGGUAAAAUUUUGUGUUUUGAUCCUUUUUUGAAACCUAUUCGAGAUUUGACCCUAGUUUGAAAAAAAAAUCGAGAUCUGGCCUUUUUGCUACCGCCAGAGUCCAUGGCGGUAGGGUCUAACAGCCUACCGUCAUGGAUUUUGGCGGUAGGAAACAUCGCUACCGCCAACCGGACUGGCGGUAGUCUGCACAACUCUAUCGCCAAGGUGUUUGGCGGUAGGCACGAGCACGCACUGUGGUCAAUACUUAGGAGGUUUUUGACGGUAUGGCAUGCAACCCUACCGCCAGGGACCUUGGCGGUAGGCUGUUAUACCCUACCACCAAGGUCCCUGGCGGUAACAAAAGGAUCAGAUCUCUAAAUUUUUUCAAACUAAGGUCAAAUCUUGAAUAGGUUUCAGAAAAUGGUCAAAACACGAAAUUUAGCCCCCACCGGGAGCACGUCGGUGUCAUCCUUGGCGCCGUCCUCGAUUAGCACGCCCGGGCCAAGGUAAACCGAUGCACGGCGGCCAAGGUGCCGCUGUCCGUCGCUGCUCCUCGUAGGGCCGCAACCGCGCCGAGUCGGUAGUAACUCCGGACACAGUAGAUAUGCAAAGAUGUAGCAAGCAGCACGGGAAAAGUUGUUGUGGAGCUCAGGCUCAAUGGCACAUGUUUUACUGUUCACAUUCACGGCGGCCUAGGUGCCGCUCUCUUGCUGCUCGUCGAAGCACCCGCAACUGGCCGUGUCCAAUAAUAACUCCGGACACAGUAGAAAUGCAAAGAUGUACUUUUAGAUCUGUCUAGGGCACGUUUAGAUAUGUCCUAAUUAUUAGGCAUCUAAAUGACUCAAUCAAAUAAGAAAGAAAAAUAAAAGACAAAAGAAAACGCUUGCAUAAAUCUAGCAUAAAAUCAAUAACAUAGAGGUUAGAUGUGCAAUACCUAAAACCCAUCUAGAUAUGCUUUAGGAAAAGUGUAAAUCAUUCCAAGAAGCCAACAGUCCUGGUUUGAUUGGCAUCAUUGCUAGCUAUCAGCUUGAGCUACACCACCAGUAGCAAUGGCGGUCUUCUUAUUACUUCCAGGAGACGCAAACACAAUCAAAUGGGCGGUGGAAGAAAAUGAGGGUCAUAUGCACAGGAUCGGAGCGCAGAAAAACAUUCGUCUGGCUGGUUACACUGCGUGAAAUCGAUCCUUUUCUUUCUUGUGGAAGGAAAGAAUGGAACAAAUUCUAUCCGAGACGAGGUGUGUUUCCUUUGGGAGGAGUGGGGAAUUGCGGCCGUACACAGCAGCCGCCGGGUGGAAACACAAGGCACCCACGAGGCUCUGUUCAUUGUUAAGGGCUCGUAUGUGGGUGGGUGGAAACACAAGGCACCCACCCACAUGGGAAUGCAUAGCUAUAUAGUAUAUAGUAAAAAAGUUCCUCUAACUUAGUGCAACAUGAGAGACCUGCAUUUAUUCUAAGAUAAGAAAUAUAUUUAAAAUGUAAAGAUUACCUAAAUUUAUAACUCAAUGAUUUUUACCUGUAUGCCCAUGAUAAAAAAUUAUGUUACCCAUUGGUUAUUUUGCCUCGAGUAAUAAUCAUCAUGCAUUUGAAAAGAGUUGAUCCUGUAUUUUGAAAAUAUUCAUCGUAUAUUAAAAAGUAUCCAUGUAUACAAAAUAUAUCUUAUUUAUAAUUAAAAUUUAAAAUGAAAAACCAUCCUGUAUUUUAAAAAGUUCGACUAUGCACAUUCAAAUAUGUUUAUAAAAUCAUAACGAAAAUAAAAAAGAAAAGUCAGGGAAAAAGAAAAACCAUGGAAAAAUACCCGAAAGUAACCUAACCUGAACAGAAAACCCACGAAAAAGAUAAGGGUCGGCCAUGAAAACCAGUGACGGGCCUUGGUCCAUCUACACACAUGCCNNNNNNNNNNNNNNNNNNNNNNNNNNNNNNNNNNNNNNNNNNNNNNNNNNNNNNNNNNNNNNNNNNNNNNNNNNNNNNNNNNNNNNNNNNNNNNNNNNNNNNNNNNNNNNNNNNNNNNNNNNNNNNNNNNNNNNNNNNNNNNNNNNNNNNNNNNNNNNNNNNNNNNNNNNNNNNNNNNNNNNNNNNNNNNNNNNNNNNNNNNNNNNNNNNNNNNNNNNNNNNNNNNNNNNNNNNNNNNNNNNNNNNNNNNNNNNNNNNNNNNNNNNNNNNNNNNNNNNNNNNNNNNNNNNNNNNNNNNNNNNNNNNNNNNNNNNNNNNNNNNNCUCAGCGCAGAAUAGAGGUCAAAUCGCCUAAGGGGAAAUUACAUGGGUCGGUACAUUUAGGUUUAAUCCUCUAAAGUUUUUAUUUGAUAGAAUUAAGUGACAAUGUGAAAAGGUGGUUUGAAUAGUCGAGAAACCGAGUAUUUAUAAAAAAAAUGGUAAUCUAUUAUAUUUUCUAAUCUAAGAUUUUUUUUCUUUUCAAAAUCAGUUUCAAAAACGAAAACAAUUAUAUCAUGGAAUUGAAAACAUCCACAUACGGUUGUCUUUGUAAGGACGUGCGAUACUUAAUAUAUGGCCUUUCUGACGAAUAACACACAUCCACAUACGGAAAUGCUUGACGUUGCUAGGUAUUGGAGUGGGUGCCGGUGCUGGACAUGCUCGCCGACGCUAGGGAUUGGCCGGAUUGGGGAAAUGGGAGUGUCAUGGAGCGGAGCAGAGUGAGCUAGGAUUUUUUUUCGGACGGGGAAUUUUGUGGGGUCAGGGUGGGCCAGGUUAACGUGGCGGACACGCCCGAGCCGCCUCAUAUCCGUCCUACAUUUGAGACGGACAUGAGAGGUGCCGGUCAGCCCGGGCGUUUGGGGCCCGUUUAAGAGCUCCAGUUGGGUCAGUUUUUGUGACCAGCCAGUGUCCGAACAACUUGUUCGGGCGUUUGAGACGGAUAUAGGGCGCCCGAUAUGCUCUUAUCAACUAAACUCUUAAAUGCAUAGGUGUUUAAUUUUUUGUUGCUAAGCAUUAUUCACUUUUAAUAUCAGAUGUGUAUUAGAGCAACAUCAUUUUAAAUAGCAUCAUUUAGCAAUUGGAUUUUAUAUCAAGUUAGGAUAUUUAGAGUUUAUUUGCUUAACGAGAAAAGGCACAUAUGUGAAUAAAUUCCAAUCUCUACCAUGACCCCCAUUAAUAUUAUGAGUUAGCAUAUUUGUAACUUUAGAAUAUAAGAAAUUCGGUCACCAGUUCGAUUUUUUUCAUCUAUAAACACAAAAGAUAACAUACUUGCAAAACCCUGUGCUAUUGUAACAACAUAUUACAACCUGAGGCAAAGGAAUCUGAGUCGACUCUCUCUUCUUGAAGGGCCAGCUGCGACCGGCUCCCUUGCCCCAAUUUCAUUUUGAAGCCGGUGCAAAAGACUCAUUGGCCUUGAAUUUAAUUUUUUAGUCGUGCCGAUGUCCCAUUCUUGGAUAGUAUAUCAAGAAAACAGAAACGUGUGAAGUUGCUCUUGUCUGCUCGAGCUCACAUGCACUCUUUGUCACAGUAAAAUCUGGAAAAAAAUAUAUCAUCUUUAUUUAAAGAAUCUGAAUUUUUUGGCAGCAAACAUUGGUGUGCAUUUCACAUGCAUGAAAUUUUUUGUAAUGGAAUGACAUGCAUAGAGGUCUCGGCGAAAAAACAAAAUCAAAGCUCCAAAAUGCUUUCAAAAACGAUGUUUUUGGAGCAUUGAUUUUUUUUCUGUCCAGACAACAUUUCAUUGUAAAAUUUUGCACACAUGCAAAACACGCAUCGAUGUUUAUUGCGAGUUUUUUUUAAAUAGUACUGCUAGUAUAUUUCGGAUUUCACUUUUUUUAGACAAAUAUUUUGGAUUUUACUGUGGUAAAGGGUGAGCUCGAGCUCACAAACUCGAUGGCCCAUGCCCCCUUAUAUAUUUUCUUUAAAAAAGAGGAAGAACGAGAUGUGGAUCUGCAGGCUGCAGCCACCACCAGCGGUCGUCUGCCUAGGAAGGGGACAGACACCGAGAAGCAUAGAUCCUGCGGGCCGCCCCUCAAACUCACCUCGAGGUGGGUGUAGAGAAUUAUGCAACUCACGAUGUAUUGAUCGGGUGCAAUAUGCACGUAUAUAUAAGUACAAAGGGUAGCCACGUCCUCGACUAUACAUGGAAGGAGGAGGGCUUGUUGUACAAGAAAUACACAUAUGUUAUCUACAUCUCAACACCCCCCCGCAGUCGAAGCGGCACCACGGUCGACGCAAAAACUGGAUCGGAACUCCUCAAAAGACGCAGUAGACAAGCCCUUGGUCAUGAUGUCAGCAAACUGUUGGGACGUAGGUACAUGUAGUACGCGCACAUGACCCAAAGCGACCUGUUCCCGAACAAAGUGGAUAUCAAUCUCAAUGUGCUUGGUGCGUCGAUGAUGAACCGGGUUGGCGGAGAGGUAGACCGCAGAAACAUUGUCACAGUAGACAAUCGUAGCCUUGUCAACCGGAGACAAAAGCUCAUGCAACAGCUGACGAAGCCAGGAACACUCGGCGACGACGUUGGCAACGGCGCGGUACUCUGCUUCAGCACUGGAGCGGGAGACGACAGGCUGCCGCUUGGACGACCAGGAGAUGAGAGAUGGUCCAAGAUAGACGCAAUAACCAGAGGUCGAGCGGCGCGUGUCAGGGCAGCCGUCCCAAUCGGCGUCAGAAUAAGCUGUCAUGUCCAAAGAUGAUGAAGCCUGAAGUGACAAUCCAAGAUCCAAGGUGCCACGGAUGUAGCGCAGAAUGCGCUUGACCGCGGUCCAGUGAGCAUCACGUGGAGCAUGCAUAUGGAGGCAAACCUGCUGCACAGCGUAUUGGAGCUCCGGUCGAGUAAGAGUGAGGUACUGAAGAGCACCAACAAUCGACCUAUAGAAGGGAGCAUCUGAAGCAGGAGAACCAUCUGUGACGGAGAGCUUGGCCUUCGUAUCAACAGGUGUGGCGGCCGGUUUGCAGUUAAGCAUCCCGGCACGAUCCAGAAGCUCAUGAGCAUACUUCCGCUGAUGAAGAAAGAAGCCAUCUGCUCGACGAAGAACCUCGAUCCCGAGAAAAUAGUGCAGAGGACCUAGAUCCUUAAUGGCAAAUUCAGCACGAAGACGAUCGGUGAGCUGUUGAAGAAGAGCAGGCGAGCAUGGUGUCAAGAUGAUGUCGUCAACAUAGAGCAGAAGGUAGGCAGUAGCAUCACCCUGGUGGUAGACAAACAGUGAAGCAUCGGAGCGAGUGGAGCGGAAGCCAAGCUGAGUGAGAAAAGCUGCGAUGCGCUGGUACCAGGCGCGAGGAGCUUGCUUAAGACCGUACAAAGACCGAGAGAGCAAGCACACAUGAUCCGGAGAAGACUCAUCAACAAAUCCAGUCGGCUGCUGACAGAACACCUGUUCCUCAAGGUGACCAUGAAGAAAAGCAUUCGAAACAUCCAUCUGGUGCACAGGCCAUGAGCGAGAGACCGCGAGCUGAAGAACAGUCUGAAUCGUGCCGGGUUUGACAACCGGGGCGAAGGUGUCGGUGAAGUCAACACCUGCUCGUUGACGAAAACCGCGAACGACCCAACGAGCCUUGUGUCGGUCGAGAGUACCAUCCGGAUGAAACUUGUGUUUGAACACCCACUUCCCGGUAAUGACGUUGGCCUGAGGAGGACGGGGGACGAGCUGCCAGGUGUGAUUGCGUUGCAAUGCAUCAAACUCCUCCUUCAUCGCGGCGAACCACAUGGGGUCACGAAGCGCGGAACGGGCGGAGGUCGGCACGGGUGAUGGCGAUGAAGAAGUCGAAGCGAUGCAGGUGUACACGUCCGGUGGGUAGCAAGUGCUGGGCCGAUGGACGCCUAGCCGUGACCGCGUGACAGGGCCAGCAGGCGGUGGCACAGCAGCCUCUACCGGAGAAGGCGCCGAGCCUGGUGGUGAAGAUGUCGGCGACGCGCCCGGCUGUGAAGAAGCCGGGACAGAGGAUGACGACUCCGGCGAGCGAGCCGACCCAGUGGCCGGUGAAGUCGACGAAGCCGGGGAGACCGGCGCAGAGGCCGGCGCGAAGCCCGGCGAUGAAGCAGCCGAAGAGGCCGGCCCGGAGGCCGGCUCGGAUGCCGGCUGGGAGGCCGGCUCGGAGGCCGGCGCAGCUGAUGAAGCGGCGGGCAGGAGCCGAAGCGCCGCACGUCCAGGGGGCGCCCUACGCCGGGUGGUUAAACCAGGGCGGAUAGGGUCGGCCAAGGAGGGACCGGGCGCCGAGGAAGAAGCCUCCUGCUGUUCCUGUUUAAAAGGAAAAGACAACUCGUCGAAAUAAACAUGCCGGGAUGUGAUGACAUGGUGGGAAACCGGGUCAUAGCAUCUAUAGCCUUUGGUGUUAGCCGGGUAACCAAGGAAGACACAUGGAAGGGAACGAGGAGCAAGUUUAUGAGGAGUGGUGGCGACAAUACUAGGGUAACAGAGACAACCAAAUAUACGAAGACCGUCGUAUGAAGGAGGAGACCCGAAGAGAAGGUGGUGAGGUGUGAAGUUCCACCGGGUACGACAUGGACGAAGGUUUAUGAGGAGAGUGGCAGUAGCGAGAGCGUCAGGCCAGAAGCGGGGUGGCAUGUAGGCAUGGAAAAGGAGGGUGCGGACGCAGUCGUUGAGAGUGCGAAGGAUGCGUUCGGCCCGACCGUUCUGCUAUGAGGUGUAUGGACAGGUAAGACGGAAAACAGUGCCAUGUGUGGAGAGAAGGUUGCGGAUGGUAGUGUUAUCGAAUUCUUUCCCGUUGUUAGUUUGCAAAGCUAGAAUGGGACGACCGAAUUGUGUGGCUACAUAAGAGUAGAAAGCCGUGAGAGUGGCAGCAACAUCGGACUUCUUACGUAAUGGAAAGGUCCACACAAAAUGAGAAAAGUCAUCCAAGAUAACAAGAUAAUAUGAAAAACUAGUGUUACUAGCAACAUGAGAGGUCCAAACAUCACUAUGGAUUAACUCGAAAGGUAACGACGCAACUGUGGAUGAAGUACUAAAGGGAAGGCGAACAUGUUUGCCCAGACGGCAUGCGUGACAAGAGUGCGCAUCAGUUUUAUUACAUGUAAAAGAAAAAUCCCUAAUAAUAUGACGAAGAGCGGUGGAGCUAGGAUGACCGAGACGUGUGUGCCAGAGAUCAACGCCGGCGGAAAGUGCAACUGGUCCAACAGGUGAAGAUGAUGGAGGCUGGACGGAGUAUGUAUCGCCGGGACUGUCACAGCGGUGAAGAACCAUCCGUGUGAGGGCGUCCUUAACAGAAAAACCAACUUCGUCAAAUUCACAGUUACAGAGUUAUCACGAGAAAGUUUACGAACACAAACUAGAUUCUGAAUAAGCUCGGGAGACACAAGAACAUUAUUGAGAUAAAGUGGCCUAGAGUUGGAAGGAAAACUUGUGGAACCAAUAUGAGUGAUAGGAAGACCAGCACCAUUACCGACAAUGAUACGAGAAGAAGUGUGAAUAGGAGACACGGAGGAGAGGUUACCCGGGUAAGCGGCCAUGUGCGAAGAUGCACCGGUGUCCAUGAACCAGUCACCACCGCCGGAGUAAGCCCCGGUCGGAGGCUGUUGAUGAAGAGCAGCAAGCAGAGCCGGAUCAUAAGAAGCUGGCGCAGGGUAGCCCGAGUAGCCGGUCACGCCAUUGCUAGCGGUUGGCCCCCCAUAGCCAACCGGAGCAGGAGCGUAGUAGGUUGAUGGAGCGACCGGGCCGGUUUGCUGACCGGCGAAGAAGGCCUGAUGCCCGGAAGGACCGGGACCGAGGANNNNNNNNNNNNNNNNNNNNNNNNNNNNNNNNNNNNNNNNNNNNNNNNNNNNNNNNNNNNNNNNNNNNNNNNNNNNNNNNNNNNNNNNNNNNNNNNNNNNNNNNNNNNNNNNNNNNNNNNNNNNNNNNNNNNNNNNNNNNNNNNNNNNNNNNNNNNNNNNNNNNNNNNNNNNNNNNNNNNNNNNNNNNNNNNNNNNNNNNNNNNNNNNNNNNNNNNNNNNNNNNNNNNNNUGCACAACCCCGGUCCAGGGGUUGUGGCCACCCCCCCAAGGUGGUGUCGGCUGCUGCUGCUGGUGGACGGGCCCGGCGCGCGGCUGUUGCUGCAGCUGUUGACCUUUACCGCGGCCACGGCGUCGCUGGCGCGGCUGCUGUUGCUGCGGCUGCUGCGGCAAGUGUUGAGGAAGAGCCGCAGGGGCACCAGGGACCGGUGGCCGCUGCUGGUACGGGACGCCGUAGGCGCCGUUUGGCGCUGAAGCAGUCGGUGGCCGGGGCGCCUGGAACGGCGCGGGGAAGCCGGGGGGAGCACCCGAGGGCGGAGGGCCACCGCGUGAGUAGCCGGCGGCGAAGGCGGUGUGAACGGCACAGGAGCGAAGAUGCUUCAACCGGCGUUCCUCGAGACGAAGAUAAGCCACCGCCCGCUCGUAGGUAGGGUUCGCCAUGAGUGUGAGGUUGGUGGCAGCGUUGCCGAGAUCCUCAUUGAGGCCGGCGGUGAGGGUGGAGAGGAGCAACUCAUCGCCCACCUUGAAGCCGAUGUCAUUGAGCUCGUCGGAGAGGGUCUUGAGACGCAUGCAGUAGUCGUCAAUGGAGGAGUCGUUUUGAUGACACCCGAAGAACUCCUGCUGCAGGAAGACGAUCCGUUGGAGCUUGUUGUCGGUGAAGAGACCGACGAUCUUGUUCCACACCGUGCAUGCAUCGUCCUUGUCGCGAACGACAGUAUGGAAGAUGUCUUUGGACACGGUGAGAAAGAGCCACCGGAUGAUGGUGGCGUCGAUCGCCAGCCAGUCGGCGUCGCGGUUGAGGACGAAGAGGUUGGCGGUGCCGUCGAUGUGAUCCUGCAGAUUAUACUCACGAAAGAGGAGCUUGAAGUAUGUCUUCCAAGCAUAGAAGUUCGCCUCUUUGUGGGAGAGGAUCACCGGGACGCGACGUUCGAUGGGAACAUCACGGAUGUAGGCGGGAUCGGGAAGGGUGGCGGUGGAGGAGCCGGAGGAAGAGUCGAAGGGGUUCGGCGGCUUCACCACGGGAGGGGUGGAGGCGGCGGACCGGUCGGAAAGAAGGUUGGAACCCGACAUGGCUAGGGUUUAGGUGCGGCUAGGGUUAGGCGGCGGCCGGGGCGGGUUUGGGUAGAUGGCAGCGGGUAGCGAGGGUGUUAGGGUUUGGGUUGAGUGCGGCUAGCGACGAGAAGAAGGGAUCGCGAGCGGCAGCGUGGGAGGGUUUGCGAGAGGAGCGGCGGCAGGGAGCCAUCGACGCGGGAGGGAGAGCUACGGCGGCGGCGAGGGUUCGGCGACGCGGGCGUAGGGAAGCGGUGGCGGCUGGGAGGCGACGCGACGCGCUAAGGGAGGGUGGAUCGGACUAAGGCUGAUACCAUGUAGAGAAUUAUGCAACUCACGAUGUAUUGAUCGGGUGCAAUAUGCACGUAUAUAUAAGUACAAAGGGUAGCCACGUCCUCGACUAUACAUGGAAGGAGGAGGGCUUGUUGUACAAGAAAUACACAUAUGUUAUCUACAUCUCAACAGUGGGUAACUGGGGAAGGCUCGCGGGAAGACGAGAUCGACAUCCAAGACGGGGAUGGUCGAACACAGAGAAUCUGGUCGCCGACGACCGAUCCGAUAUACCGCGCUGCCCCGAGCUGGACGCCUGCCAGCCAGUCUUGAGGUCAUGCAUCGCCAUGCCUUGUUGCUGAGGGCGGCACCAUCGGCGGAGAUGUGCCGCAUGCAGCGGCCACUUGCCAAGACGACCAGGCUGCUCGUCAGGUGCGUCUGCAAACCGCGCUUACUCGCACGAGAGAUGCGGAUCGUGGACGUUCAGUUUGGAACUGCUUCCCUCGUCCAUGUCCUAUGCUUUCACUGAAGCGACUGUGUGCAGCCAACAACUCUCGCCUUGCAGCAAAACAGAAGAGCCUCUAGAUGGCGAUUCAAUUUUUGACCAACCUCAUUGCUGUCGGUCCCCAACACUGUUGCUUUUGGAAGAUUCAGACAGAAUAGCAGUUGGAGGCUACCUUUAAGUUGGUGUCGGCCAUCAGCAGCUCUGCUAUUGGAGGUGUGGUUGCCUUGGUGGUCAAUUACAAUGUAACUGGUGGUUCAGGGAAGACCGGAAGCGCUAUUCUUGUAGCCAUCUUCUUGGUGUUCACUACUUCAAUCUAGAGUCUGCUCCCCAUGGAGAUCCGUGCUAAGGUACUAGAGAUCAACAGUCCAAGGCUCAGAGGAUGUAUCAUCAAAUGCAUGUGGCUGGCGAUUAUCUUCAUGCAUUUGCUGCUAGCCUGUGCAGUUCUUGCAGAGGUUUUUGCUAUAGUUGAGUUCGCCAUCUUAGCAGCAUUCGCCCCUUGGGUUUUUGCAGCCGCUGUCCACAUUUUCAUGGAGCACUGUGUUGGCCGUGCAGCAUCCCAGGACAAUAACACCAGUGAGUACCAAGAGGCGCACCUCAAGUGNNNNNNNNNNNNNNNNNNNNNNNNNNNNNNNNNNNNNNNNNNNNNNNNNNNNNNNNNNNNNNNNNNNNNNNNNNNNNNNNNNNNNNNNNNNNNNNNNNNNNNNNNNNNNNNNNNNNNNNNNNNNNNNNNNNNNNNNNNNNNNNNNNNNNNNNNNNNNNNNNNNNNNNNNNNNNNNNNNNNNNNNNNNNNNNNNCACAAUAUGGUCUUUUAUGGCGAUCAUCGCCAUCUUUGGAGGGUUCCUUCAUGGGAAGACUGAAUCUCCCAAAUCAUAUUAAUCACCUCAGCCUUUAUGUCCGGGUUUGCUCUCAUGGUGGUCCCCAUCAAGCCGAACUUGACCAGUGUCGGCCUUGCUGCAGCCACCACCGUGCUAGAUUGGACUGUAGCGAUAACAUUUGCUGCAACAAUAUUUGCUAUUAUCAUUGCAGUGGUCUUGAAUAUAUUUUGAAGCCUUGUUGCUCCUGCAGACUGCAGUAUCAAAUCUUCUAUACACUUUGCACGGCAUGUCCAUGCACCAGAAGGUCCAGAAUGAAAGAAAGGUGAAUGCGUGAAAUCACAUGGUAUGCCAGGAAUUGCCAAAAUUAUCUAGUUUUAAUCUGGAAAACCUCAAUGAAUACGGGGUCAGCUUCUGCGGCUCGAGGCAGGAUUACAUAUGUUUUCAAGCACAAACUUGGGAUCCAGACUUGUUAUAUACUCCCUCGUACCAAAAUAUAGGUCGUUGAACAAAUCGUCCCGACCAGGCGAAAAUCAGGGCAAUGACCUUAUUACCCCUACUAAAUUUGAAUCCUCCCCCUCUCCGAUCAUCUUCAAACGGACCACCAAAAAACCCCGAAGAAACUAUCCUCCUCCACCCCACCUAGUCUAGCCCUAGCUAGCUAGCUUCCACAAAGCGAACCCGGCACAAAUGUUAUCAACAACGAUCAUCGACAUGAGCCACCUUAUCGAAAACCCUCUUGUUUCACUCUGGAAGGCGCAGUGAUGAGGAGAAUAACGGAGCUAAUCUCAGACCUCACACGGGGAGGUACUACUACCGCCCUCCCCCGCCCCCCACCCACACACAGAGUGUAUCCUAUGCACCCGGAGUUUUUGUGCUACUGGUGCACUGAACAUCAGAAGCAUGUACUAUUAGUUCUAAGAAAUCUAAAAAGUAAUCGAGUGUAAAGAGAUCAUACAUCUAACAUGUUGCAAAAUUUGGUUGCUAAAUUCAACUCACAACAAGAGAAACAAAAACAACAAAUUCAGCUCUGGUAGUGCAAGCGGCCCCAAUGAUUGGCCCAGUUUAAAUUAACAACAUUAUGUCACGAUUUGUCUUUUUUGCUUAUCAAGGUGUGAGUAGAAUUUAAAAUUCUAUGACAUGACAGACAUAUAUUGUGUCCAUGUACUCAUUUGCUUAUAGAAUUUUUGAAAAGUUUUCGCAUGAGUUUUUGACAUUGAUGCACCCGUAGCACAAGAACAUCGGUUGCAGCAGAUACGUCCUCCACACACAGUAACCAAGGGGUUUAGGAGCAAAUAAAUUUACCAAUCUUAAAGCAAUUGUGUGGAUGCAUGCAUCCAGAAGGAACCUCAGACAUACGGAAAAUGUUCCGCCCGUCGGAAGUCCUUCAACGCACGCAAGUGAAGUACACGACAGGGCGAAACCAGCCAUGGGCUCACUUUAAUUAUGUGGGAUCGGCCUAGGUGAUCUUUUUAGACGCCGGCGACGAGCCACAUGGCAUGCUGCAAGGGCAAGACCGGUGCACAAUACAAUAUUAAACGCAUCGAAGAAAAGGGUGGAGAACGUGUGGGUGUUGCUGAUGAAGCAGUGACGAAAGCUACAGUUUGGACGAAGUUUAUAAGGAUAUAAAGUACAGUUUCUUUUAAUAUGAUCUUACGACAACAUUCUAAAUUCCUUCUGGAUGUGAUUUCUUCUUUUUCAGUCGCAUGUCCCUCAUGGCAUAGCUUUCAUGAGCUGGGCCAGAAUAUUGUCCUUCCAAAUAACAGCUACUUGUAUGGCUGGAAUAAUUAGUUGGUGUAUGCCUACAGGCUACAGGUAAGAAUGCAAUUGUCAUCCUGCUCGUCUGAACAAUAGAGCGCGAAGAGGUGAGCGCCUAGAAAUAAGAUAAACAAUGCUAUCACGGCCAGGACGGAAUUCUAGAAACGUAAACCCAUUACCAGACUCUCGUAUGUCCAAGAAGAAAGAAUAGUUUUCUUUUUUCAGAAAGGAAGCUUGAAUCCCUGCCUCUGCAUAAGCAGAAAAAAGAGUUGGUCUCACUUGAAUGAUGACAUCCGUCCAGAUAGUCUAUUUUAGGCAGGCACAGAGUCAUCAGCACCCGGAAGAGAAGUGUUGUUUUCUUAUUGAAUCGUGUUAGAUUUGUCAUAGCGAGAGUAACUUAGCUGGUAGUAACAUAGAUGCCUUGUAGAGAAAGAAAAACUGAUAUGUCAAGUAAUUAUCAAAGAGAGAGGAUUGGAGUAACAUAAUAUGUUGGGCUACUCAUAGCGGGGAGUAUCAUACACUAGUAUCAUGCAUAUGAUACUAGUGUAUAAUACUACCUUCAUAGUGCAUAGUAUCAUAAAUAAAUAUCAUACAUGAUCUUAUUUAUUGUCAUCCAUGACACAUAGUAUCAUAGCAUUUAUUAUGAUAUGAUAUCUACCUAUGUUACUCUACCUCUCCCAAUGCUCCACCUUGUACAUGUGCUAAGAUUGUCAACUAAGCAUAAAAUAUGAUGUGGCAUGUUAAUAAAAAAAAGUAAUAUGGUGAUGUCAGGAAGAAACAAUGCUAAGCAUGUGUACCUAGGUGGGAAACAUAAAUCUAAGUCUAUACCUAAUUAAAUGAAAGAAUUUUAGCAACCAAAAGCUAAGCACCUGUGCAUUAAUUGGGGAGUUUAGUUGCUAAGCCCCUUAAUGCAUUUAGUACCUUAUCUAAGCACACAUGCAUUGGAAGAGGUCUAGCCAUCUCUCUUUUCUUUAGUUGUAUGUCACAUCAGCAUGUUUACUAGUCCUGAGUGCAUGAUACCAGCAGCUGGUCGUAAUGGGAGUAUCAUAGGUAGUAUCAUGCAUGCCAACUAAGCGAAUUUGUUGAGGUGACAUAGAAUUAAAUGAACAAAGAGUAUCAUAUCAUCAUACCAUAUCAUAUUAAAUGUUGUGUUACUAUGUGUCAUGCAUGGUAAUAAAUGGAGUUAUCUAUGAUGCUAACAUAUGAUACUAUGCACUAUGAAUGUAGUAUCAUAUACUAAUAUCACUAGUAUAACGCCCGUGCGUUGCCACGGGCUCUUCAAAAUUUAUAAUCAGUAUCUUUCAUUUAUCAUCCCCUCAUAUUGGGUGAUUAUGGGGUGCUCUAGUUAGAAACACAACAAUCAAAUAUUAGGAAGUUUCACCGAACGAACAACAACGAAUAAUACGAUAUCUAUCAAACGAAUAAAAUGAGGUCAUAUUUUUGGUCCGUCAUGCACUUCUGUUGAAAAGUGCCUAUCCCUUUUAGAAUCAACCCACUGUUUGCUCGCACGCAAAAAAAAUACAUCUCUAAAGUGGGGAACCGAUUGGUGCCAAAAAGAACUCAAACUCCUAUCCAAUCUCGACUUCGUGCUUUUCCACUUCCAUUGAUAAAGAUGGGACGUCAAGGGUUUCAUCAUGAUGACCUCGAGCAGCCGCCGACAUCCCUCCCCACAUCUACCCCUACCCCCUGCUGCCGCUUGCACUGUCCUUGCUCCUCGAGGGAGCUAGGGACACAAUGUUCUCUAGGAUGGGCAUGACCAGAUCCACGAGGAGGCCACAUUCUUCCAUGGGAACCCAACCAAGCACACCACCCUCCGCAACCAUCCAAUCCCAGCCUAACAAAGUCAAGACCCGCUAUCGAUCCACAAAUUAGGCUCGCCGCAUCCAGGUUCACUGCAAGUCUGCGACGAGUCUGUAGUCGACAUCUUGACUUUGGCUAUCCCCACGGAAGAAUCAUCGGAUCCUGCUUACUUUUACCAUCACUUCGUCUCUUCCCAAGGCAGCGACACCACCCAGCCAAUCACCACCACCGCUUGCGGCUUGCCUACAUAAAAUCAUGAGAAAUCCCCACGGCGGUGCUGUAAGAUCACCUUGGCGACCUCGACAGUGACCGACUGGUCUAAGAUCUAAGCUAGCCGCUCUUCGUAGAAACCAAUAGAAGUAGGCAUGUGACUCAGAUUUGUUCUUUGGUGUGCAUGCGUUUCUUGCUGCCCACCAGCUCUUGUCUACAACUCGCCUAUCUCUGUAUCAGCUCUUGGUCUACAACUCGCCUAUCUCCAUGCUCGAGACGACCAAGCUCGAUGCGUAAGCCGCAUAUGUCUGCUAGAGCUAUAUCCAGGCCCUAUAAUUUUUGGAUCACUGGCACUAUGGGUGCCAGGACCGGAGUCGCCCUCAUCCACCAAGUGGAUCAAGGAGGCCCACCACCUAGACUGUACAUCGCAACAUUUUGUAUUUUCCUAUAAAAAGUAAAGAACCUUCUCUAAUAAACGUAAAUAUAACCUUUUGGUUUUAUAGUCUCAACUUUCCUACACUCCAAUACCAGAAGGAUUUCUUGGUUUUAUUUAAUGACCUUCUUGAAUGUCAUUCACUUAGAAAGGUAGUAAUCCAAUCUGUGAUAUUAAGGCAAAUUAUUAGUCAUAUUAAAGUGCAAAAGGCUCUAUAGGAGUCAAAGCAUGACUUUUAUGGUUAUACUGUAAUUUGCAAGAUCUGAGAUUUAUGCAAGUGUACAAUUAGAGAAGAGCCAAUUAAAUAGAUUUUCACAUUCAGAAUAGUACGAUUAGCAGUAGCACUUCAAUUUUUUCAUGUUUGAUUAGCUUGCUAGGUGGUUAUCACUAAGCAUGUUGGAACGAUGAGCAUAACCUAACUUAGUUCAGUACGUGUUGCUGCAAAUUAGUUCAGUACGUACGAAGCUGUUGCUAAUUUCAAUGCCUGGCUGUUGCAAGUUUCUAAUGAAAAAGUACUUCAGGUCAAAGGUCAGGGAAUAUACACUUUUGUUAUCAUGGUUGUUUCCUUAUAGUGAACAACUUUGAUCACCACUUCAGUAGCUACUAUCUAUAAGAAGACAUUAGCUAAGUAGAUACAGGCAAAGAAAGCAUGUAGGCAAAACCAGAAUUAAAAACAUCCUUCUCAAUGGAGCUCGUGCAGUUCGGAAGACCCUAAUCAUCGAUGAGGGACCCCUCCGAUGGUAGCAUGGCGUGACAAUUGCCGUCAAUGAUAACACCCAAAGUACCUUGCACAAUCCAUCGAUCUAGUUCAGAACAAUCAAGCACAUACCUUGCAAAGUGAUGUGGAUCUGAAGCAGAGGUGGGAAGGUAAAGGCUCAGGUGAGGUGGAAUGAGACGUUGAUAUAGACGUGCACGCAUGAGAAUAAGGUGGUGCCCAGGAUGGAUCUCCAUCGGAGGAGGCCGGAUCCGCUGGGGAGGAGGUCGCUGUAGUACCUGCCAUCUGUGCGAUGGAUCACGGGGCUGGCAGGCAGGGGGAGGGGAUAGGAGGGAGCGGGUGGGCUAGAGCGCAGAUGGCGGGUGCCCCCGACGACGGCUGGGAAGGAUGGUGGAGGAGGUGGAUGAGGAUGGCGGCGGCGGCGUCUGCGGUUGCGCCUCGUCCGCAGCCGUGCUGGUGGUGGUCGAUGCGAGAGCCGGAUGGCGUCGGCCAGAAUCAGGCAGGGGCAACAAAGAUUUAGAGAAGAGAGAGAAUGGAGGCGAUGAGCGAUGGGAGGAAGGGCCACCGACGAUUGGGGUGGCCUCAGAUCCGCCCUUCGUGGCCGCCUAUUUCAUGGGACGAACACCCGUGCUCACCGUCGGGCUCGCCUUCGGCCGCUGCCUCGCCGACAUUCACGACGUAGAGCCCCUUCCUCCGAUCCCAUUUGCCAGAGAGGCAGCGCCAUCCUUCAUCGCAGAGAACGAGUCCACACUGAGAUCCCAACCAGAUCGUGAUUCGCCUCCCCAAACCGCAGCGGCACAUCCCACUCCAUCAACGACCAACCUAUAUGAGGCGGAGGGUCAGUGUAGGACGCGAGCGCCGUCACCAUGGAUGUGGGACGCCGUAGGUGGGAAGGAGGCGGCGACGGCGUCUGUGUUAGGAAGAUCGCACGACGGCGGCGACGUUUACUCGAGGGGAUCGAGAGGAGCUGCGUUUGGUGCCGGGUGGGUUCUUUGGUGCGUGCGUGGGGCUGGAGAUUGUCAUAGGUGAUCAGGUGAGGGCGUGCCAUACCUGGAUCGAUAGCCUUACCAUACCUGGUGGUAAUUUAAAUUUAUUACCAUAUUCGAUAUUUCCCGAGUUAUGGCCUUACCAUACUUGUAUUGAUAGCCUUUGGGGUAAUUUAAAUUUAUUACCAUAUAAUUACCAUAUUCAAAAUAUCCUGAGUUAUGACCUUACCAUACCUGGAUUGAUUUAUUACUAUACGUGGAUUAAUUAUGAUUUAUUACUAUAUGAUUUAUUACUAUACGUGGAUAGCCUUACCAUACCUGGUGGUAAUUUAAAUUUAUUACCAUAUUCGAUAUUUCCCGAGUUAUGGCCUUACCAUACCUGGAUUGAUAGCCUUUGGGGUAAUUUAAAUUUAUUACCAUAUAAUUACCAUAUUCAAAAUUUCCUGAGUUAUGACCUUACCAUACCUGGAUUGAUUUAUUACUAUACGUGGAUUAAUUAUGAUUGAUUACCAUAAAUACGUUGNNNNNNNNNNUAUUCGAUAUUUCCCGAGUUAUGGCCUUACCAUACCUGGAUUGAUAGCCUUUGGGGUAAUUUAAAUUUAUUACCAUAUAAUUACCAUAUUCAAAAUUUCCUGAGUUAUGACCUUACCAUACCUGGAUUGAUUUAUUACUAUACAUGGAUUAAUUAUGAUUUAUUACUAUACGUGGAUAGCCUUACCAUACCUGGUGGUAAUUUAAAUUUAUUACCAUAUUUGAUAUUUCCCGAGUUAUGGCCUUACCAUACCUGGAUUGAUAGCCUUUGGGGUAAUUUAAAUUUAUUACCAUAUAAUUACCAUAUUCAAAAUUUCCUGAGUUAUGACCUUACCAUACCUGGAUUGAUUUAUUACUAUACGUGGAUUAAUUAUGAUUGAUUACCAUAAAUACGUUGGGUAUUGCCCGUCAGACGAGAAAAGAGAAAAAUCGGUGGGAGGGGCUGGUGGGAGGUGGGAGGAAGAAAAAACGGUUGAAAAUAAACCGGUUGAAAAUAAACCGGUUGAAAGUGGGGGGGACUAUUCAACCAAUUUGUUCAUUAGGAGUAGAGAUAUAAUUACCAUAUUCAAAAUUUCCUGAGUUAUGACCUUACCAUACCUGGAUUGAUUUAUUACUAUACGUGGAUUAAUUAUGAUUGAUUACCAUAAAUACGUUGGGUAUUGCCCGUCAGACGAGAAAAGAGAAAAAACCGGUGGGAGGGGCUGGUGGGAGGUGGGAGGAAGAAAAACCGGUUGAAAAUAAACCGGUUGAAAAUAAACCGGUUGAAAGUGGGGGGGACUAUUCAACCAAUUCGUUCAUUAGGAGUAGAGAUAUGCAGGAUACUAGUAUAUGAUACUCGCCAUUACGACCAGCCCACCACCACUAUGGCCAACAUUAUUGUAACAUCUCACAUAUCCCAAGACAAUAAUGUAUGAGCUUUGCAUGACAUCAUAUUUAUGUUACUAUUCACUAUAGAGGUAGUAUGUGCAUGUACUAGUGAAAGUUACUCCCUACUAUGGCUAGUCUUAAUAAGGUUGUCUGUAGUGGGUAGUACCUUAACUUUGUAUCAUGCAUAUGAUACUAGUGUAUGAUAGUACCUUCUUAAUGCAUAGUAUCAUAGAUGACCUUAUUUAUUGUCAUGCAUGACACAUAGUAGCAUAUCAUUUAUUAUGAUACAGUAUUAUGAUAUGAUACUCAACCCUCUUUUUUCGUUUAAUUCUAUACCACCUCAUCAAAAUUGCUUAGUUAGCAUGCAUAAUAAUGAUGUUGCAUCCCGCACCUCGCCGCUCCUGCUGAGGGUCGCGCUGCCACUAAGCAAGGUCAUGCCGACCAGGAUGGGAGGUCACUUGCAGUGGAGAGAUCCGUGUCGCGUCGCCUAUUGGUGGGAGAAGAAGCAUACUGGGGAGCAGGGGAGGGGAGAAGGGGGCGUCCCAUCGCCACCAUGGGCCGGCCAGAGGCCGCUGACAAUGGCAGCGAGGGGGGGGGUUGAGGUGGUGGCAAGGGUCGGCCCGUGAGCCGUAGGAGCGACCCACGAGACAUGGUCGUGUUUUCCAGCUUGUAUAUCUCUUGGUAACACAUCAAAAAAUCAAUUUGGAAAAUAUAUUCAACAUUGAUCUCAUUUUGAACAUCUCAUCAAAGCAAAAAUGGUGGUCAAUGAAAAACUGAAUUCCAACAUAUAGUUCAACAUAUAUGAACAUAUUUAUGUUUGGAGAAAUAAAAAUAGCAUUGAUUCAAUGAUGGGAAAGGAUAGAGUGGAGUGUGGUUUGAUUUCAACAUAGUAUGAGGUCGUAUUUAGAAAUGUUCUAUCAAUCCAUCUCCACUCUCAUCCCUCUCGGUUCCAUAUCCAACGACUAAAAUAUGGCUGGUGCAUCCGCUGCACCAAUUAGGCUGGUGCACUGGAUACGUUCUCUGGGAUGUUUACUUACCGAUGACCCCAGCGCCAUGAGACUUGUUCCAACAUGUGUGAUGAUUGAGAGGGGAUAACAGGGGAGAGAAGAGUAGAGCAUUGGCACCCCGCAGUUCACACUCUGACGCCGAGAAACUAAGUCUAGUUGCCACGUCAUCAUAGCAUAUACACAUAGACAUUGCACACGCUCUAUUUCCUCCCCUUGUGUUCACCCCUCCACAGCUCCAGCUCUCAUAACUCGUCGAAGAGCCUGCGUUCCCGAAUCCGCGAUCCAUUCCAGCGCCAAGCUAGGCGAUCAGGUGGGAGGGAUCAUGUUUCUUUCCCCUUUCCCCCUGAUUUGGGUAGAUAAAGGCCUUCUUCUUCUUCUUCUUUCUCUGUCCGUUCUUUUGUUUGUUUCAAAUUGAUUCAUACCCUCUCUUUCCUAGUUCGUGCAUGAUCGUGGAUCUCACUCGAUCGAGGGUUGCUUCUUUCUUGGUAUGAGUCUUGGAGUUGCGUUCUCCUCUAUCUGGAUUUGCUACUUGGAAGAAUUUAAGAGGGUAGGGCUAAUUAGUAUGGUAGGACAAGGGUUUCCUGCUCCAGUCCUAGUAUGGUAGUGCUAGUCCUAAACAUGAAGAGAUCUAGUUCUUUCAUCGCCUCGCCGCCCAGCUUUAUCAGCAGGCCCCUUCUUUUGCAAUACUUAAGGUCUUUCAUGGCCAAAUUCUUAUUAAAGCCUUCUUGCCUCGGCUAUCUUCUUUUGUGCUGCUUGUAUCAUGCAUCUUGUGGAUUUGAUUUCUGCAAAUCACCAAUGGAUUCCAAAUUUGUGAUUAACUUAGGUUGAUACUAAAUUUUGUUACGCCAAGUCAAUGGACAAUCUCUCUCUCUCUCUCUCUCUCUCUCUCUCUCUCUCUCUCUCUCUCUCUCUCUCUCUCUCUCUCUCUCUCUCUCUCCUGCUGCUGCUUCUUCUUCUUCCUCUUCUUCCCUAAAAAAUCAAAAAUUCUUCUCUCUCAGCCUAACUGGUGCACCGAAAGCAGUGCCUGGAGGCAACUAUAUCAAAUUAACCCCUGCAGAUUAAAUNNNNNNNNNNNNNNNNNNNNNNNNNNNNNNNNNNNNNNNNNNNNNNNNNNNNNNNNNNNNNNNNNNNNNNNNNNNNNNNNNNNNNNNNNNNNNNNNNNNNNNNNNNNNNNNNNNNNNNNNNNNNNNNNNNNNNNNNNNNNNNNNNNNNNNNNNNNNNNNNNNNNNNNNNNNNNNNNNNNNNNNNNNNNNNNNNNNNNNNNNNNNNNNNNNNNNNNNNNNNNNNNNNNNNNNNNNNNNNNNNNNNNNNNNNNNNNNNNNNNNNNNNNNNNNNNNNNNNNNNNNNNNNNNNNNNNNNNNNNNNNNNNNNNNNNNNNNNNNNNNNNNNNNNNNNNNNNNNNNNNNNNNNNNNNNNNNNNNNNNNNNNNNNNNNNNNNNNNNNNNNNNNNNNNNNNNNNNNNNNNNNAGAGGAAUGCAAAACCCAAACCUCACGACUCGUGCGCGCUAACCAGCUCGACGUCGAUGUGGAAGGUGAGCACCAUGGAUAUCAUCUCUAUGCUUUGCUACUAUUCGUUUUAAGCUAUAUAUUUAUCUGCAGCUUAGUUCGCACCUCCGUUUUGAGUUCUGUUGUCGCUUAAAUUUGCAGCUUUGCCGCCAACACUGAACAUGGACAAGAAGGGCGGAGCAGCGCAACCGCCGUCGCCGCCGUCAAGGAUCCUGGCUCCGGUAAGCACACGAAACAACAUCGGUCCAUUUUAUUUUGACUCUUCCAUUCAUGCAAUGAUCCAAAAUUUUCGCAAAGCGGACACGUCUAUAUCUUACUACAGCAGAUAUCUUUUCUGUUCCUUUUCAAGUAUCAACUUGCAUAGUUUAUGUGUUAAAAAAAACUUGCAUGGUUUAUUGUGCCAUGGCAUAUGGCUGUUGCCUACUUUCCGUGAUUGGUUAUGGAGUAAGGACAAAACAUAGUUUUUGUCUACUCGAUGGUUGAUUUUGGACUGAAUUGACAAAGCAUACUUUUAAGUCAAUGGUCAAAGUCAAACAAACUGCCGGUAGCUAUUGUAAAAAUAUUGGUAGAGUGGUUCCAAUUUUUUGUUCUUCAUUCUUGUCUAGCAUGGUCUAAAGGAAUUAUUGCACAAAGGAAUUAUAUAUACAUACUACUCACAUUGAUUCAGAAUAAGAUCGUACUUACUUAGAUAUGGUUGUGUCACCAGUAAUGGUUCUUAUAAAUUUGACCAAAUUUAUAAAGGAGAUACAGGAGAAUACCAACAUCUACGACACAAAAUUCCCUUAGAACAAGUUUAAAUUUAUGGCAACCCUAAUUAAUGCUCCAUUAUUUGAAAUAGAUAUAGCACUUGAGAAUUAUUCGGAACAAAAAGAGUGUACAUCAUGUGAUCGCUUCUCAUAAAAAACAAGAUCGAAAUCACUAGUUGAGGGGUACCUUUUGUGAAUGUUAUUUCAAACACCUUUGGUGCCACAUGUGGCGCAACUCGUGUGUGACACUUGUUGCCACCAGAGAGUUUUGUUUUUUUUUCACUCAUGCGGAAGGGUGAGAGGGCACUGUACGUGCUUUACUUUGAGAUCCAAAUUUCAAAUGAAAAUAUCUCUUGAUGCGAGUGUCCAAAUUAUGAACGUUUUCACCUUUGUUACUCGUGGCUAUAUCUCUGAAAGUUGAUCACAUGUUCAUAGGUUUCGUUGAACUCUUUUUUGGAUGUAACUUGUACUUAGAACAAUGGAACUUUGUACUUCCGCUAUAACAUACUGUACUCUCGCGUAGUGUAACUUGUACUCCUCAUGUAGUGCCACCUAUGUGUAACGUGUACUUCCCGUGUGAUGAAACAUGUCCUUCCCCACAGCGCACUUGCACUCCUCGUGUAGCAUAACUUGUACUCCCUGCAUAGCCCAGCCCGUACUCCCCCUGCAACUCACCUGCACUCCAUGCGUUGCACAACAUGUACCCACCGCAAAGCAACUUGUAUUCUUUCUUUUUUUUACGAGGGAAAGCAACAUGUAUUCCCCAUAUCACAUUUGUAUUCUCCACACGGUGCACCUAUACUCCCACACGGUUAGUGAGUACAGAAUGAGCGGUACAUGUACAUCCAUGUUGUACACGUGACAGCCUAAGAAAACUAGACAGGGAAAAAACCAGAGAAAAGCCAGAAGGAAAAAAAAUAGAGAAAACAAUCGGAAAGAGAAGAAAACACCAGGUGAAAAAAGAUGUCGUUUUUCUUUGUCCAGGGCACUCCGCGCGCCGCUCCCUCAAACCCCUCCACCUGUCACGCACACCUCGUGGUGCUUCCUGCGGGGCACCCCUCUUAAUUAGUCGCUCUGAAACAAGGUAUAUUGAGUAACAAAAAAUAGAUUGGGACAGAUUAUAUAGUAAAGAAAAGCUAGAUUGCGACUGAUUAAGAAAAUUGUAAACCCAACGAGCAGCCGGGAGUGUGGUCCUCGCCGUCGCUUCUAACCCAAUCCCCUGUAGCUGAGCAUCAGCAUCAAAAUUUUGUUGGCCGUCCAACGUCAUACAUACCCACGUAAUCCCACGUCCGUAGACCCACCUAAAAAUAAAAUAAUCCGUAGGCUACGACUGGGCAUGAGAGGAUCAGGACGAUGCGCCCGCCCGCGGGGUAGCUCAGCCGUGGCCAUCACAACCUGUAGUUUUUUAAAUGGCACAUCUCCCCGGCGUGGCGCAUCCUCCCACUCCCUCCACCUUGACAGACCACACGCCGGGCUCCUAGGAUCCACUUUCCGUUCUGCUCCUCCUGCCAUCUCUUGCGAGUUUUCUCCUUCUUGCAAUCCACAUGGCCCAUGAUAUAUACUACAAGUGUUUGGCGCAGCGCCGUUGGUGUUGUUGAAUUUUCUAAAAAGUAAUCGCUCUGUUUCAAAAUAUUAGGUGUAAUAGUUUUCUGAAAAGUAAAACCUUUUAAGUUUGAUCAAAUUCGUAGAGAAACAUAUCAAAAUCCAUAGUAUCAAAUCGCUAUUUUUAGAUUCAUCGUGAAAUAAAAUUUCCAUACUUACUUUAUUUUAAUAUUAUGGAUGUCUAUAUUUUGUCUAUGAACUUGGUCAAAGUUACAUAAAUUUGACUUUCUAAAAACCAAUAGCACGUAUAUUUUGAAACUGAUGGAAUAUUUAAUUUAGCUGGUGGAGAGAUUAUAGAGUGUGUUCUAGUUUUAUUUGUAAUGCAGUGAUUUGAUGGGCCUUUUGUGGUGUAAUUCUAUGUUAUCCGCUAACUAAAGUAGGUUGAUGUGGGGAAAUUUCUGUGUUGGUGAUUGCAUGUACAAUAUUGGUGCUAUAAUAUCACAUGGUGGCGCUUCUUUUUUCUUGUUGGUGGGAGUGUGUGCUAGAUUGAUAUGUUUUUAAGGGUCUGUUGCUGCAGAUUGAUUUGAAAAAUCAUUGGUCCGGUCAAAAUCAUAAACCAAAUCCAAAAUUGAAUACCUCAAUUGAAUAAAAAAGUUUCAAAAUUAGGGAACAUAAUGGAUUAAAAUAAUUGAAUGGGAGAGCUUCAGAAAUUGUUGACCCGAUCAAAAUCAGAUGACCCAAUUUUAAAUUUAAUACACGAAUUAAUUGUGAUGCCUUAGAAAUUAGGAAGCACAAUGUCUAGUAUAAAUGAAUCGAAUGAGAGAGUUUUAAGAAAUUGUUGACCCGGUCAAAAAUCAGGUGAUCCAAUUCAAAUUGGAGACCACAAUUGAAUGUGAGCUCUUUAAAACUAGAGAGCUUAGUGUUAGAGAGGAUUUUCAUAGGAAUCCCUUCUCAGCAAUUUAUAUCAUUUUUCAUUUAUUUUUUUGAACAAGAAAAGGGCCCAUAGUCACGGUAUAACUGAUAGAAGGAUCCAUAAGAAAAGAUAAUUUAGAACUAGGUCCUUGAACUUUGCAAUAAGGACCCCAGAUGCAAGACCUAGAUUGCAAUCUUGUCCUACUCUUGCGACAAGGCUUCAUCACGUAAUCAAUCCCAUCAUCGUCAGGACAAGCACCAUAGCCAGCCCUCCGACUUGCUAGAAGGGAAGGUGUAGGCCUGAGGCAAAAAUAAAAAAUUGGCGGCUCAGUCUCGAAGAUGAUCAAACUAGUGGUGUGUGCAUGUGUGCAUUAAUAGGAGUGAGUGUUAAUAUGAGCCAAUGUGUUUGUACUGUGUUGCUAAAGAAACUCAUAUACUCCUUCUGUUCAUUUUUGUAAGUCAUUUAGGACAGCUGAAAUUGAACUGUUUUAGGUGCUGUCUUAAAUGUCUAAAAGGUCUUACAAAAGUGAACGGAGGGAGUAUCUUUUUUCAGUUUGACCAUCUAGUAAUUGACUAUAUAAUUGAAAUUUUAUUCUACUCCGCUGCUGAAUUAUGCGUUCAUGUGAUAAUGGGAUGGAUUGAUACGUUUAGAUGCAGCAAUUUGUUCCUGGAUCAUAUAGUUAUACAUAAUGUCUUAAAUAGUGGUCUUGCCCACGUCCUGCAUCUAAACAAACUCUCCCGCCCACGUGAAGUGACACACUUCUGUUCGUAUCAGUCUGCGGACUCCACGUAGUCGACCACGAUGACCUUAAGAAGAAAAGAGGGGACGGUGCGGGCUAAAGAUUUGAUCUUCCUUGGUUGGAGUAUAAUUUUUUUACUAAUAUCUUAUAUUAGCUCAUUAGAUUCAUCGUAAAAUACUAGUAUAUACAGUUGAUGUUGUAGAUGUUGAUAAAUUUUUCUGUAGACUUGGUCAAACAUAAGAUGUUUCACUUUAGACAAACCUAGAACUUCAAGUAUUUUGUAGUGGAGAAAAUAUUUGUUAAGAAAGCUUUAUAUCGAAAAAAAAUAUUGAGCACGCAGGCAGACACAACCAAUGGCCGAGACACAGUCCAGAAUAAAUGAACUAUGUGUCUUCAGUGUUCUCUAGGCACAUGAUACAUGAGUUGUCUGGCACAUGAUACAUGAGUUGUCUGGUAGACGAUAUUUUCUCCUUCCCAAUAGAUUCCUGACGCUGACUUUGUCAUGUAAGAGCAUCUAUAGUUGGAUUUGGCAAAUCCGGUCCCUCAAAUAUUUGUGGGCGUGUCUGUGGACAGUGAUCGAGUCACGUCUUAAAUAAUCCAUUCUACAACCGGAUAACUCAAAUUAGAAAUCUGAAAUCCAUACUAUUACAUGCAACGUAAAACAUAUUCUAAGCGGACUCCGCCGUGUCCAUGUCCGGCGGCCGGCUGCGCUCCUCGGAGUGUUGGUCCGACCGCCAGCAAGGAAGAGUAGGGCAUGUGACACGAGUCGGCUCACAGAACUCAAGGCGUCGCCGUCUCCCAUGCCCUACUCUUCCUCGUCGGAGCAUGGAACCCAGUCGGUGUCGAUGGACACCAGAUCGACGAUGGAUCCGUACUGGGACGAGCCGGCCACAUCCACCAUGACGCAGUUCCGCCGCCCAGACUAGUGCACCAUACAGGGCGCCAGAAAAAAAAUGCGACUCCGCCUCGGUAACAUCCAUCGCCACGAGGGCUGCUGCCGCCACCCGCGCCCGCUGCUUCACACGUGGCGAGCACGCCGUGCCUGUUUACAUCGGAUGACUCAUGGUGCAUCCAUCGCCUCGGCGCGCUAACAGAGGGGUUACGCAUCCGCCGCCGCUUUCAGACGCUAGACGAACUGCACCGCCUCCGUUGAGGCAGCGAUGGCACACCUACAUCGGAUCCAUGCGCCAUUUGAGCGGACACAAUAAAUUCCCGACGGAAGGAGUCCGAGAGCUGCCGCCGGGCGGCCUCCUCCCGGGAACGACGGAGCGCAAGCCGGAUAGUCAUCUCUUCCUCAGGCUCUGGUGGCAUGAGCUCGGGGUCGACGGAUCUGAAGGUGUAGGACUAAGAUACGUUGCCCGCCAUGCCGGAGAAGGCCGGAGAUCAUCGGACGAGAGCUUGGGUCACGGAGGAGAGUGGAGGGAUANNNNNNNNNNNNNNNNNNNNNNNNNNNNNNNNNNNNNNNNNNNNNNNNNNNNNNNNNNNNNNNNNNNNNNNNNNNNNNNNNNNNNNNNNNNNNNNNNNNNNNNNNNNNNNNNNNNNNNNNNNNNNNNNNNNNNNNNNNNNNNNNNNNNNNNNNNNNNNNNNNNNNNNNNNNNNNNNNNNNNNNNNNNNNNNNNNNNNNNNNNNNNNNNNNNNNNNNNNNNNNNNNNNNNNNNNNNNNNNNNNNNNNNNNNNNNNNNNNNNNNNNNNNNNNNNNNNNNNNNNNNNNNNNNNNNNNNNNNNNNNNNNNNNNNNNNNNNNNNNNNNNNNNNNNNNNNNNNNNNNNNNNNNNNNNNNNUAUAUAUGGGGUCAGGUGGGUCAGCGUGGGUGGCGGACACGCCUGGUCGCGCCCGAGCACCCUCAUAUCCGCCAUAUAUUUGGGUUAAAUAUGAGGGGUGCCGAUCAGCCCGGACAUUCGAGGCUCGUUUGAGGCACCCAUUUAGGUCACCUUUUUGUGACCAGGCCAUUAGAGCAUCUUCAUCCACGUAUCUCUAAUUCGACCCCUCAAACAACCGCGGACGCGCCCGAUCCGUGACAAACUUUUUUCACAAAAGAACGAACCAGGAGCACGGUUUUCCCUUCCGACUGACAUUUUCGAGAGCUCGUGGAAGGAAAAAAAUAAUUUUUUUCGGUUCCGAGAAGCAUGGCUAUACCUCCCGCGGAAGCAAAACUGUGUCUCUCAUGAAAGGAAAAAAAAUAUGUUUUCGCGGAAAUAAAACCAUGCCUCUCGUGGAAGCAAAACCAUGUCUUUCACAGAAGCAAAUUCGUGACUCUUGCAGAAGGAAAAAUAGAAAUCACGUUUUUUUGAGAAAAAAUCAUUUUUUUUCAAAAAGUUAAGAAAGACAGAUGAAAAACCAAAAACUUGAAGAAAAAAAAUCAGAAAAAACCAUCUAAAAGCCGAAAAGCAUGUGGAAAACAAAAGAAACAAAAUUUGAAAGGGCGCCUAGAGCGCGACACGUGACGACAACUGAGAGAGCGACUGUAGUGACAGCUGAGAGCGUGUCACUCAGCCCACCUCAAGUGAUUGUUGGGAGGCUUUUCGUAGGAGGGCUCCUCAAUUAGCUGCUCUUAUGAACGUGGAGUGAUUACGUUUGGGAAUGAUUAGUAAUCGGGGGAUGUUGGGCCGAUGGACAAAUGAGCUGCGCUCGCAAUCACGUAGGACCUCACGGGAACCAGGAAUCGUAAAUAAGAUCGGCUUCUUCGGUGAUUAUGGUUUUUGAUGACAGAAAAUCGAACAUACACUGAACACCAAAUAGCGAUCGAAGUUUCCACCAAACCAAACAACCGUACAUCGAAUAAACAUACAAAUCGGUUAAUCUGGUUCGAUUUGGUUAAGUUUUUCGGUUUUCGAUGUGACAGUGCCCACCCCUAGACGUGUCCAACCGAAAUUCUUGGUGGAAACUUUCCCUCCAUCCAUGACUUCGGUAUUUUUUUAUGCCAUUGAUUCAAGUGCUCAAUAAGAGGUUCCUGUGCACGAAGAGUCAAACCAAUGGAAUACUAGUAUUUUUCUAGAUGCAUUUUCUGGUUAAACUAUGAAAAAGGCAAGAAAAGGGGGGAAAAGCGCAACCCAAGGGUCGAAUCGAAGUCCUCUGAUUCAUGAAUUGGAGUCCUCUGAUUUACGAAUCGGUUACUCAAUUCACGAAUUAGAGAUGUAUACCCCCAACGAACUCGAUUCAUAGGCAGUACCGAAUGGCAAAUCCGAACCGGAAUUGUGAACCCAGAGAACACCAAAUCGGGUAACUAUGGCCCGGACAUUUGAAAUGGGUUUGGGGCGCCCGGUUGUAGGUGUUCUAGUAGCAGCUAGGAAAAUAUUUUGCUAGAUGGUCCAAAUAAGCGCCUAAAACAGGAUGUCCCUGCCCCGGUAACUCCAAUCGAUCUGGAAGAGUGCUUGUGAGUAUCAUAUUAGUUUCAUCAGAUUUGUCAUAAAAACCAGCAACUCCGAUCUCCGAUGGAUCUGAAAGAGUGCUUGUCAAUUAGUUGACCUGUUUCGGGGCUAAAGAUUAGAUCUUCCUUGGUUGGAGUAUAGAAAAAUAUACUAAUACCUACAGUAUCAUACUAGUUUCAUUAGAUUCAUUAUAAAAUAUAUUUUUAUACUAUAUAUAGUUGAUGUUGUACAUGUUGAUAUAUUUUUAUAUAGACUUGGUCAAACAUGAAGAUUAUUGACUUAAGAAAACCUAGAACUUUAAGUAUUUUGGAGUGGAUGAAGUAUUUGUUAAGCAAACUUUAUCGAAAGAAAAAAAAUGUUAAGCACGCAGGUGGGCACAACCAAGGGCCGAGGACACGGUCCCAGAAUAAACCCAUGUGUAUUUCUUCGAUGUUCUCUAGGCAGAUCCGCAGAUGAUACAUGUGUGGUCUGAUAGAUGAAUUAUUUUUUCCGUCAUUUCUGGUGCUAACUCUAUCGUCUAAUAGAAGCCAGGAAAAUAUUUUGAUCUUUAACUGACAAGCACUCUUCGAGAUCCACUGGAGUUGCUGGGGCAGGGACAUCCUGUUUUAGGAAUACGUUUGCAUAGAUCUUUACCGAGGGAAAUUCCAAGAAUAGUGCCAAUGGCCUUGUUUGUUUCAGCUUUGAUCUCAUUCGAAUCACUUAGGGAUUCACUUUAGUGGCAAAGCUGAUCACAGUUAUAUAAGAUCAUGUUUGUUUCAGCUUUGAUUGGAUUCGAAUCACCUGUAGAUUCGCUUUAGUGGUAAAGCUGAUUCGCACCGAAGUACACUUUGAGGUGCUUCAACAAAUUGCACUAAAAAUGGUCCAAAUCCAGAUUCAGCUUCACUGGCAAAGCUGAUUUAUUUGAAAUAACUGUUUGUUUUAGAUAUCAGAUUUAGUUUCACGGGCUUUUCAGAUUCCAGAUUUAUCUUCACUAACAAAGCUGAAUCUGGUUCCUGAAGCUCAAACAAAUAGGGCAUCAGAAUGAUGCAUCUGAUGAUGCACCAACUGAGUUUCUCCUGAAGUUGAAGAAGUUGCUCAUAUGCUUAGGGUGGAGAUUGGUCUGUGCAGAUUUUCAGAGAUGUUAUCUGAAUUUAGCAUGUCUUGGAGCUGACACCUGUUGAUCAGCAUGCAAGUUCAAAACCCUCUUACGUUGUUGAGCCGCAUCUUGCUGUAUUCCGUAAUAUUUGAAAAUUAUCCGAAUAGGUGAUUCCUCAAUUUUAUAGAGUUUUGCUUACGUACAUAAACAAAUUAUAGUCCCUACUUUUACAUUAAGCAUCAACUAAUUCUAAUCCCUACUUUUCCAAUGCAUCAAACAAGAGAUCAGAACAAUUUAAUAUUUUUUAUUGAAAAGGUAUCUUCUAAUCUCCAUCUUUGAUGUGCAUCAAAAUUUGUAAACUUUUCUAGGGGGUGUACCGAAGCAAAACUCGUUAAUAAAAUGCAAGCGGCUUCCAAACAAAUACCAUAUGAUGAUUUUCUUUACUCUUUUUUUUCAUCGGAUUAAGGAGCUUGCAACCCCCAACUACAUUUCUGAAACCAAAAAACUAGGAAUGAAUACAGCUCAAUUUGAGCUAGAGCUUCUUCCGCUCUUAAUCUCAUGCCGUGACAUGAUGAUAGUCUACUUAACAGCAGCCAAACACACUAAAUAACAGUGAGGCAUGAAAUUAACAACUCCCUUAGAAAGUAAACGAGCACACACUACCACUAAACGACUGAAGAGCCAACACUAGCAGUAAAACACAAGAGCUCGUGGAAGAUUCAGACACCUUAUGACGAUAUAAGCAUUCCAUAAAAAAACAUGGGUAGUUUUUUAUGUUCAUUCAUGUUACCAUGUGUUCUGUGAUGUCACUACAGUGCACUGUUAUUGUUGCAGUCUAUUUUUAGUAAUGCAAUUGCAGUCUUACUUUACUAAUUCUAGGUUUUGUUUUUCUCUUGUUGCUUUUGGAUACAAAUAUAUGCUUGGUAUAUUAAUAAGUAUGUGAAGAGUUCACCAAAUUACAAUGUGGACAGAACUGGUGCCGUUUUGGCUAGCGACGGGUUUGGGCUUUGCAUCUAUUAAAUUUGACCCUUGCUACUCUUGUAAUCUGCAGGCUGAGGAAGGCGCCACCAUUGAGACAAGGGAAACAACAAAAGCCAAUGAGAACUUAGAGUUUGGGGGCAGCAUUGCUGGCUUUGGUGUAAGCAUGAUGGUGGCCUGGUACAUUCUCUUCCCAGGAGAUAGAGGAGCACAUAAUCUACGGUGCAUCAUUCCGUUGUUCCUUGGCUUCGCAUGCCUCAUCAGUGGUGUUUGCCUGAUGCUGCUCAGCAUGAACCUGCUGGAGCUCCCACAACACCUUGUCUCCGAGAGCCAGCUCAUGGUUUCCAAAUACCUUUCCUGGUUAUGCAGCGCAUUGCCAGUGGUAACAUUGAUCAGCCCCUUUCUGCUCUCUGGGUAUAAGUUAUACAGGUACAUUGGCCUUGCCCUUCUGGUUGUGGUGACGGCUCCGCUUGCUGUAGUACGAUGGUAUGUGGGACUCAAAGCUCAGGGCGGUGACGAAGAGGCAGCACUCAGGGAGCACAAGGAACAGUUGGAAGCUGCCUUUAAGUUGGUGUCAGCCAUUAGCAACUCUGCCUUCACAGGCGUGGUUGCCCUGGUGGUCAAUUACAAUGUAACUGGUGGUUCAGGGAAGACCAAAAGUGUUGUUCUUGUAGCCAUCUUCUUGGUGUUCACUACUUUAAUCUGGGGUCUGCUCUACAUCGCGAUCCGUGACAAGGUACUGGAGAUCAACAGUCCAAGGCUCAGGGGAUGCAUCAUCAAAUGCAUGUCGCUAGCAAUUAUCUUCAUUCAUUUGCUGCUAGCCUGUGCAGUUCUUGCAGUGGCUUUCGAUAUAGUUGAGUUCUCCAUCUUCGCAGCAUUCGCCCCUUGGGUUUUUGCGGCGGCUGUCCACAUUUUCAAGGAGCACUGUGUUGGCCGUACAACAGCCCAGGACAGCAACCCGAGUGACUACCAAAAGGCACGCCUCAAGUGGAAGGCAGAGAUGGGGCACAAGAUCACAAUGUGGUCUUUUACGGCAAUCAUCGCCAUCUUUGGAGGGUUCCUUCAUGGGAAGGCUGAAUCUCUCAAGGCCUGCACCAUAUUAUUCACCUCAGCUUUUAUGUCCGGCUUUGCUCUCACGGUGGCCACCAUCAAGCCAGACUUGACCAGUGUCGGCCUCGCUGCAGCUACCACCGUACUCGAUUGGACUGCGAAGGCAACAUUUGCUGCGGCAAUAUUUGCUAUUAUCAUUGCAGUGGUCCUGGAUAUAUUUUGAAGCCUUGCUACUCCUGCAGUGUCAACCUUCUUCGAUGACGCACUCUGCACUCUGCACUCUCUGCACUCUGCACACCAUGUCCUUGCACCGGAAUAAAAGAAAGGUGAAUGCUUGAAGUCACAUGGUAAGUCAAGAAUCACCAAAUUGUCUAGUUGUAAUCGGGAAAGAAUCAAUGAAUGUGGGAUCAGCUUCUGCGGGUCGAUGCAUGAUUAUAUAUGUUUCCAAGAACAAACUUGCGAUCUAGACCUCUUAUAUAAUUAGAAGAAAAGCUUUAUUUGCAGAGAAGAGCAAAUGGGCACCCAUCGUCAACUGCCUGCUAUGAGCUGAAAUGGUACUAGAGUGGCCUGACGCUAUGUGGAAACUAUAAUGAAAAACCUGUGGGUUCUCAGGUUGACAACUUGAGAUUUUCCUUUCUAAAUAUAUACUGUAAGAAAAUGAAUUAAGAGAACGGUAGAUAAAUUUUGCUGCUAUGUAUGGUGGCAGAUUUUGUGGUAUAUUUCUGGUCCAAAUGCCACUCGGCAUCUUCGUAAUAGGUGAGUUCAUGGCCCCGCCAGGUGCUAUAUUUUGGUACUACAUUCUUCACUGUGGGAAGCAAAAUAUGUAUUACUGUUGUCACGCUGCAUGUUCCAUAUUUUACCUUUCAUACACCACAUUUUCACAUACCUGGCAUGUUGCACGUUUAUAUCAUCCUUGUGAUGUAGUCCUUUUGUUUCACAGUGUAAGUUCCUUCAGUUUUCUCUCAAGUCAGCCGUUUAAAAGAAAGUAUCAACAUAUGCAACACCAAACUAGUAUUAUUAGAUGCAUUAUCAAAUAUAUUUUUAUAUUAUAUGUAUUUGGUGUUGCACAUGUUGGUAGUCUCUUCUAUAAACUUGGUGAAAGUUAAAAUGGAUUGGCUUAGAACAAAGCCAAAUGAACUUACAUUGUGAAACAGAGGGAGUAGUAUGUUUCUUUUGUUGGUCACUCGUUAGUAAUCUACCAAUCCAGCUUGGCUCAUUUCUUUUCAGUUACUCAGCUCUUGUACUUCGAAUAGAUAAGGAUUCAAGACUGAUCCUGCUCUGGAGGUUGAACCUGUUAAGCUUCAUGCACUAGCCAACACAACAAAAAGUCCGAACUGAUGGAAAGGGCCAGGCAAUCCACAUAUAGUACUCCCUCAUAUAGUACUCUUCAAUAGAACCCUUGGGGAUCAUGAAUUUCACAAAGUUAUGUCUCAUCGAAAGGCAAAGCCUAGACUAUUAGUUUGGUGCACCAUUACGAUUAACUAAAAAGACAAUCGAUGUGAUGUUUAGAUCUAAGACAAUUACAAUUAAGUGAAAAUCAGCAAUUGUGACAUCUAGAUCCAAUAGGGUGAUUAAGUAAAAAAAACAAUGCGUACAAUCUGUUAAAAUCCUAAUCAUUAAGUGAAAAACAAUUGAUGGGAUAUUUAGUUCUAGUACGACAAAAAGUGAAUUAAUUCACAAUAUCUUCAAGCAAAUAUUCCAUUAGAUAAAAGUGAAGGAUGCCAAAAGAUCCCGUAAAAAGGAAAAACAUCUAGGCUUCAAUUUGGACAAUUACUAUCAAGUGAAAACAAAUGGACGCGCCAUUUAGAUGUUGGAUGAGCCAUUUUGGGGGCUUUUGUUUUGGUUGAUCUGGACUUGUAGGAAAGCUACAGUCUUUGACAACAACAUGAAUGCUAGCAUUCCACGAAAAUGUUGAAUGGAGCUCGGCUUCCAUGGAGGCCGAAUUUGAAAUGAUCAAAUUCAUGUUUGUAUGUUUCAAGAAUUUUUUAAAAAAAAUACACAUCUACUUAGAGACAAGAUGUACAAGUGUGUAAAUUUUCAAAACGAAAUACGUUAAAAUGAGGGCUACACAAAAAAAAAUCUGCAGCUUUUUAGUACAUGCACUAUUCAUCUUCAAAGUCCAUGAUUUUGUUUCUUUUGCACAGCUCACAUUGCAAGGUAUUUCAUCGUGAAAUUUUACACCCAUACACAUCACGUCCUUGCAUACUUGUACUAAAAAUAAUCAGAUUUUUUUGAAACUGAGAAGUUUGAAUUUUGAUUUAUUUAUUUUUUAUAAAAAAAACGGCCUCCAUGGAGGCCGAGCUCCAAAACACCCUACUCAGUAUUCCAUUGCAUAUAACUUAUAAAACAAUUACUUGUAUUUCGCAGUGGAUGCCGUCUCUUCCGGUCGAGCUUCUUCCGGCCGGCCGAGCGUAAGGAGCAAUUGGUGGUGGCGCAAGGCAAGAUUCAGAACAUGACAAGGAACCUGGAAUGGUGAUGCCGUGAUGGGAAGGCGCCAAAGAAUAGGCUGAGUUGUAGUAUUUUGAUUCUACCUACCUUUUGGUGUUGGCUGGUGGUCCUUCGAGCCGUAGCUAGCUAGUGUGUUGUGUGGUUUGGUUUGGAUGGACGAUGCUAUCUUGAACUGCCUACUCCUUAUAUAAGCAGGACUGUAAUGAUCUUUUCUCUAAGAAAAUCACGCAGGAAGUGCUAAUCACGCAGUUGAUGAUUUCAACUACUACUAUGGAGUACUUAACAGGAGAUGGCGACCUUUGCGAGCAACAUGGCGUAUCAAUGUGGACAUGUAUUAUUUUAACAUCCAUUCUACAAUUUUAGGAAAAGCUCUUUAAUUUUUUUCUUGUGCGUGAUCAGACAAAUCAAAAUUAUAUAGGAUGCAGAUGGUUAUGACGUUCUAAUUUUCGUGCAUUUUUAGUUGUAGUACGAAUCAAACAGGCCCUGAGAAAGAAUUUCUAUGGCCACCGAUGUUAGAGCAUCGACAGCCGGGCUCUUCAAACGGCCCCUAUAUGUCUGGACGGAUAGCCCGAUCAGUGAUCGGUCACAAAAUCCGGACCCGGCAGGACUCCUCAUACCGGCCCUAUACGUCUUGGCUACCCCACCCCCAUCAUAUCCAGCACAUAUCUGGGGUGGAUAUGAGGAGGCAGGAGGGCUCGGUCGCGCUCGGGUGCGUCCGUCACGUCGGAGUGAUGGCCAGAACGAGGACCCACAUGGGCAUACGUCAGAACACAAACAGUCUAGUGAGAACGCCGCUCUAGCACGCCUCUCAAGGGGCCAAAUCCAGCUACUUAAGCCGGACGGCGGCAACCCAAACCUAGUCCAUCCCAUUUCCACCCUCUCCCUCCCCUCCGUGUCGUCGUCGUCCAAUUCGCUUGCCAUCCCCCAAUCGUCAUGGCCCGGCAACGGAUCACCACGUAAGCCAUGCUCACUCUGGAGUGGCAUUUGGAGCUCCUUGAGGAGAUCCGGACUAGGCACAAAGCUUGGAUUGCAGACGGCCUGCCUCAGGACUCGCCAGAGUCGGAGGAGGAGCAGGCACCGGACGCGAUCAUGGAGGACGCGGGGCCGAAGGAGGAGGAAGAGGACGAAGGCGAGGAAGAUCCAAUGCCUCUGGCUACGGGCUUCGCCAUGCCAGACGUGUUGACGGAGUUUGAGGUCACCCAAGCGAAGGAGGCAGCAGAGCAACAGGACAUCCUCGACUCCAUUUGCUCGGAGGCGGAGGUGGAGGAAACUGUCGCUUCCUCCAUAAGGCAUGGGCAACGAAUGACGCACUCUUCAUGGACAUGGAGUCUGAUGAGGAGAUGGAGUAGCGGGCGGCGGCCAUGGACCAGGAGGCUGUUUCGUCCGGCACUGCCGGCAUGGAGGUCGUCUAGAUCUCUGACGACGAGUAGUAUAUGCUAGUUUUCGGUUAUCUAUGUAGUGUGUAGAUUUUGUGUUGUAUGUGUAGUAUAGAUUUGAGGUAUGAAAUCUGAGGUAUACGAUUGCAUCGACGCAAAAUGAGGGAUAAGGGCAACUCCAACACGCUGCCGCAAACGGACACGAUUUUUGUCAGCUUUUCCUGCGUUGGGGUCGGCUAGAGGCGUGUUGUCCGGCCGCCCCCGCCCGAACCUGUUGUGUGGUCUUGGCGACGAGGGCCUUAUUCGCCGCCAUAGUGGCCUCUGUUGUGCGGCCGCGGUGUGGGCGGCCGCAGCGCCGACUUCCAAUCUAUCUGCCUGAACCUUCAUCGAUACAGCCCUCUUCGCCGACGGUAUGGCCCGCUCCUCCUACAUCUGCUCCUUCUUGGGCCGCUUCUUGCGGACGGAGCGGGGCUUGUCGGACACGUUGUUGACCGUGCAGACGGGGACAACAGCGGNNNNNNNNNNNNNNNNNNNNNNNNNNNNNNNNNNNNNNNNNNNNNNNNNNNNNNNNNNNNNNNNNNNNNNNNNNNNNNNNNNNNNNNNNNNNNNNNNNNNNNNNNNNNNNNNNNNNNNNNNNNNNNNNNNNNNNNNNNNNNNNNNNNNNNNNNNNNNNNNNNNNNNNNNNNNNNNNNNNNNNNNNNNNNNNNNNNNNNNNNNNNNNNNNNNNNNNNNNNNNNNNNNNNNNNNNNNNNNNNNNNNNNNNNNNNNNNNNNNNNNNNNNNNNNNNNNNNNNNNNNNNNNNNNNNNNNNNNNNNNNNNNNNNNNNNNNNNGGCGAGUGGACGGGAGGGCGAGAUGGUGGGAGAGUUUUGGGAGAGAGGGAGAAAUGGGGUGAAUGUGCCACUGUAUGGCGGGCCAAGGAAGGACAAGAGUGGGUAUCACGCGCGUCCGCGCCGAUGCAGAUCUGGACCAAAUUUGGGCCGAAAAUCGGUCGUGGGCGCAUUGGCACAUUAGGCCGCUAUUUCUGUCCGUUUCGACCCAAACGGGCGCGCGCGGAUAAAAUGCGUCGGGGCGUUGGAGUUGCGCUAAGUGGGCCCUCUUCACGAACGCGUCCGGAUGCGUCCAUGAACAUACAAGGAAUCAUUUUUGUCAUAUGUGGGUUUAGAUGCUCUCAAUGCCGCUGGUUAAGAGGCACGGCAGCAUGUCCAUCCAAGUAGAAGUAGGCAAAGAAGAUGUGCAGGCUUGUAGGAAUGUUCCGGUUCAUAACGAUGGCGAUGGCUAGACGCGGGUUCGGACGUUACCAUUCACAAACAAGAUUGCAAUGUGUUUUCACGCCCGGUGACCUUUCCUCCCAUCCAUCAGAAAAAAGUCUUUGGAACGCGCUAAUGGACCAGUCUUCCGUCCCGCUCAUGUCGCUGUUGGCCGCGUCACGUGGAUGCCGUGGGUCCCCGAGGAGCGGAGUCCAGUGGCUUCCCGUUAUCAUACCACUCUGAUGAGUUAUUUAGGCUGGUCAUAGUGAGGAGUAAUUUAUGCUAGUGUCAUGCAUAUGACACUAGUCUAAGUUAUCAUCUUCAUAGUGCAAAGUAACAUAAUACUAGUAUUAUAAAUGCCUUUAUUUAUUAGCUUGUAAACUUAUAUUGUAUUGAGAAGUGUUACAUUACAGUAAUAUAUUAUGUUACCCCUUCUUAUUAAGACUGCGCAUAGUGGGGAGUAACAUAAAGUAGUAACUUGUCGAUGUUAUUAAUCUAUGUUACUACCUUCAUAGUGGAUAGUACUCCCUCCUUUUCGGUUUAUAGAGCUUAUCUCAAAAUCUUAGUUUUUUCAUUUUAUAAGGCUCAAUUUGAUUGUUCCUCAUCACAAGUUCAGAUUCCAAGGUGUAUUAAAUAAUUGCAUACAAGUAUUAAGAGAAAAUUGACCAAUGCAUGUACUUUAUGCAUGUAUGCAUUGCAAUUAAUACAUUGGUAAACAUAAUUUUUUAGAAAAACUAGAGCAUUAAUUGGGUGCUUUUGCAAAUUACAUAAAGUAUUCUAUCACUCACCAUCUACCUUGGUUGGUGAGAUUUUUGAAUUGAGCCCUAUAAACCGGAAAGGAGGGAGUAACAUAUACUCCCUCCGUCCGAGUUUAUUGGAUCCGGAGACAAGAUUGACAGGACCAAGAAACCUAGUAACUGGCCUUGAUUAAGGUGAAAAUUUCCAGUGUUUAAUUGUGACGUAUGUUUCGGUAGCCACGUAAUUUAAUGCACACUCUAGGUAAUCCAGCCAGCAGCCCAGAGUUCACGCGCAUGCUGAUGCAUGGCCGCUAGCAUGGCCAAUCUGAAAACUAGGAGAAGCGCAUGCGUCUGUUUAGGUCGCCGCAUGCAAUGGGCUAGUUAAUUUCCCUCGGUCCUCGGGAACUGAAUGAGUUUGAUUCCAAGAAAAUUAUUUAGAAGGGCCUUAUAAGUCGGGACGUACUAUUGUUGCUGAGAGGCCUAAUAAAUCCGGACGGAGAAAGUAUGUGGUAUUAUGAAAGAGUUCAUUUAUUAGGCUAUAGACUCAUUAUGCCUUGAAAUAUGUGAUGUUACAGUAACUACAUAAGUUACCACAAACCCUCUCUCCUCAUUAAUUAGCUGCCAUAUAAGCAAUCUUGUAUUGAAAUGUGUGAUGUUACUAGUCAGGUUACUCCCAUUGUGACUAGUCUAACUCUUUGCCACAUAAGCAAAAUUUUCUUUAAGUGCGUUAUGUUACUGGCUAAAUUACUCUCACUAUGACUAGCCUUAUAUUAAUCUCAUGUAACGUAAUGCGGCCAGGGGAGUAGGAACGGUUGCUUCCACGUAAUAGCAGCAGCCUCCAUGUCAUCGAUCCUGUCAACGCGUGAGUUUCAAAUGGUUCAGCUCGGCCCAAAGUUUUCCCAAGUCGCCGUCCCUUUCCGUCACCAUCCACGCAACACCAGCGAGCCAUUUAGUAUUGGUAUAUACAUACGCACACUGGAGAUGGACAUUGGCGAGCGAAGGAAGAGUCGUCGCUCAUUGUGCUGUGCCUACCACCGCUACUGACGCUCGUGACGACCGCUACCGACGCAGCAAAGAUGCCGGCCGAGGAGCUGCGCCACGGCCCCGUCGGCGCCGUCUCCUGGCUCGGCAUCGCCUUCCUCACCGUCAACUCGGCCAUGGCGAUCCACAGGUCCAAGGGCGACCCGGCCGCGGUCGGCUUCGUCGCCUUCUCCUACCUCGACCUCGUACUGCUCUUCUACUGCCACAGGAGGUUCGAGAGCGCCGCGCCCGGCUCGCCGGCGAGACGCAGGCUCAAGGUGGCCGUCUGGGUCCUCACCACCAUGCUCACGGCCGUUCUGAGCUAUAAAGUCGCGGCUAUCAUGCCGCUGCCCGUGCAGAUCCUCGUUUGGGCCAUGGCCGCCGCCGCCGUCGGAGGAGGAUUCUACGCCUUCUUCCUGUUCCGGGAAGGCAAGGCAAGUGUCCGUCCAUUCCUUCACCUUAUUAUACUUAUAUAUAUAAUAUAUGUAUACUACUAGUUUAAAUUAUUUUCAUAAACGGAACUUUAUACUUUUCACAGCAAUAUCAAGUCGUUUAUUGAAAAGAAAAAUGUUUACUUGCACCUAUACAUAUUUUUUAGUCUUGGCUCACCAUCAGCACAGAGGGUUUUUAUGCUUGUCUCCCGUCGUACUUGUCUUCUCAUACAACUGUCCAGAUGCCUGGGCGGCAACAACUGAUCACCAAGCGUGCCCGCCGGCCAACCUAAGCAGCAGCAUAUCACCCCGGCCGGUUGCUUUCAACAUCGACAACCCGUUCGGUGAAAUAUAUAUGUGGACAACUGAGCCGGAGAUUCCGUUGGACAACAUGUAAUUUUUGUCCACGCGACCGGACACCCCCAAAUAGAUAAAUGCAUCUCUAGGUUGGAUAUUUGGCUUCUUGUGUUUAGUUUUUAUAAAAAGAUAAAGGAAACAAGUAUAUCCUCACGUGUAUAUGUAUACAAGUGACAAACUCAACCGUCAACUAGUCUAGACAGCAAUCAGCGAGAACUAUGAUAGCCAACCUAGAGGAUAUCAAUUAUCCUGUCAAAUCGCAUUUAGAUACUGAAUAACAAGCAGAGGGCACGCUUCAGCUCCCUCUGUCUCAUAAUAUAAAAUUGUUUUGACACUACAGUAGUGUAAAAAACGCUCUUAUAUUAUGGGACGAAGAAAGUACCUUGCUAAGGAGGUGAUCAACAUAAGAAGGGUAGCAUUAGGUGAUCAUGAUUAGUUCCCUUGCCGCUUUGUGCCUUGUCCGUGGUGCCAAACCAACACAACUUUUUUGUCAAAGUGUCAUUUUCAGGUCAAAAUAAACCAUGCAUAAAAGAACAUUUAGAUUUGAUCUUCUGCAGUUCUCUAAAUUAUACCUUUUUAGAGAGUUCACACUUCACAGUUCCUUAUGUUUUUCUUUUGUUUUGGUUUUCCUCGUGUUUGGUAAAUUUCCUGCUUUUGAUUCAAAACUUCUACUUUUAUUAAUUCUGAAUUUGCUGGAAAAAAUUCUUAUGUGGUUUAUCACAGAAUAUAUAUGCUUUAUACAAACUUGGUGUAGACAAUAUUGACAUCAUUGAGUCUAUACAUAAGCAAGGCCACUAAAUUCGAGUGAUUUGGUGCAAAUAUGUGCCAACAUAAAACACAACAUUUAGCCAUGAAUCUUGUCGGAUUUUAAUAGAGUUUCUAAGUUUAUCUGAAGUGAUGCAAAAUGCACAAUGAUCUUAUGCGGUUUCUCGAAGGAAAAUGGUUUGUGCCGAGUGAAAAUCAGAGAAAGUUGACAGAAUCAUGCAGUGAUCAAUAGAAUGGUGUCACAAGACGUAAUUAAGCCAGUAGUUGUUGAGAUGGCCAAGUCAAUGUUCAAUGAGAGGACAUCAAUGAGAACGGUAUUCCUGAUACCUUUUGGAAACAAGUUGUCAAUAGAACAACUUAUAAUUUCGACAAACACUAUUUAAAGAAGAUGGAUCGAAGUCAGACAAAGCUGUUCCUACAGGAUCUAACAUGAUUUUUGGGACCAAUGUGAAGCCGGUCUAAACUGACAGUUUAACUAUCAUAUUCUCUAGUCUGGCUCUUAACAAACUUGGGUUUGAUCUGAAGUCAAGCAAAAACAGUUCCAACUUCCAUAUACUCUAUGUCUGGUGUGGAUCUUAACAUGACUUCAGUUUUGUAAAAUUGUUUUUCUUAGGUCCAUUGCUAAAUAGCAAAACUUGAAUCUAUUUGUCCACAUGUGUUCACAGGAUUUUCUUCCAUAACAGUUUGACAGUAAAAACACCGUUUGUCUUUGAUGAAGAUAAGAUAGUAAAAACAAAACGAAUGAGGUGUGCUAGUUUGCAGGCUUUGAGCUAAAUGAUACAUGCAAACAGUCAUGCUCAUUUCUUAUCUUCAGCACGCUAUUUGUUCGAAUAAACAUAACAAGUUUUUUCUGUUCUGUUUCGCAGGAUGGUUAAGGAAGCAUGGCAGAUAUUUUCUGGGAAAGCCCUUAUUUUGGAUCCUACAUGCUCUAAACGUAGCUGGAAAAAGAAAUCAAAGGUACAUAUGUUCUUUCAGGAAAAAUGGGACGUUAUGGACAAGGUUUGGCACACUCUCACUUCCAGGUCAUUAGCUGCCGCCCCAACUAUUGCCGCUGAGCACGCAAAUGUUCGAGUUUUGUCCUUCUAGGACCAUGGGCACUGAACUCAGGAGGGCGUUCUCUCCGUCAAAUUCUUGUCACGCUACAUGAAACCUUACAUCUAAGCUGCUAAAGUGAAUGAUGGGUAUUAUGUGCAUUGUGUAUUGUGUAUUAUGUAUUAUGUAUGGUGUAGGUAGCAAGCAGCUUCCUUUUGUCCCAGGUCAUGUAAUAUCAUCAGCAAAAAUAGAACUUAAGACAACAAGGUCUUACAUUUUUCUUGUUAAAGAAGAAGGUGGUGUAGCAAGACUGAUGAUAGUGUUGCUCUCUCGGUGUGGUAACUCAUACUGUGGCAGUGUAGUUUGGUCAUGCCAUGACGAGUGGCAUGAUCAAAACAAGGAUCAGUUCAACUUUUUGAUAAUAACAGAGAAAAAAGAAAGCAAGGACAAAGGGGGCGGACUGGGAAGAGUCUGGCUAUUAUCACAAAUCGUAAUCGGCAAAAUUCUAAUAGUAUACGACGAAUCCAGUUGACCUUACCCGCUUGUCUUUGGUCAAGAUGUUUGGUGCACCUAAUGGCCAACUACUAACAGCUUGUCAUGAAAUAGGCAAAGCGUGCAGUGGGUUCAGUCGUGUUAGAAUUUUGGGAAAAGUUUUACUACUCCCUCUGUAAACUAAUAUAAGAGCAUUUAGGUAACUAAAAUAGUGAUCUAAAUGCUCUUAUAUUAGUUUACGGAGGAAGUACUUUAUAAAACAUUCGUCGUCGGCUAUUUUGAUUUGUGAAUCAUAAAGCCUUUGAGGCAAGCAACUCCCUCAACCCCAAGCCUUGUAGUGUCAUCAGUAAGAACGGAACUUAAGGCUGCAUUGUUGACUGUGCCUUUCAGGUUUCAGGCACUGGGUGGCGAUGAUCGAACGGGAAACACGCCAUUGCACACUGCUGAACAUUGAACGAGACGUCAAUACAAAUACUAUUCGCAUAGACAACGUAAGCAACCCAAUAAGUUUGACUUGAGAAGAAAAGGAAAAAAUACAAAGACCUUUCAGUACCAUAUAUAUGUUCCCGUUGGACAUGUAAUAAGACAUCCAAAGCUUCAUGGUUGCUGGUUGUUAGAGUACGUAAUGGGCCUGGACUGAUGGUAUAGCCCGUUAGUCUUAGGGUUAAUUAAAGAUAAGGGUCGCUUAUUUAGGGGUCAAAUAAGCCUUACUCAGGAGUCAAGUAAACCUCUCUAUAUAAGGAGAGGAGAUGUAGCAAUCUAAUCAAAUAAGAAUUAAGAAGGAAAUCCCUUCCAUCUUGCCCGGCCCCCGGUCGGCCCUCUCGCGCCCUCCUUCUAGCAGCGUCAUAACAAUCUGGUAUCAGCUUUCCCGGAUUCGAUCAUGUCCAGCCAUCCACCGAGUUCUUUCCACCCGCCGCCGCCGCACACCUACCUGCCGCCACCAGCGUCUUCAUCGGCGCUACUGCCCCACACAGCAGGCGCGCCGGCAUUGGGCGUGCUGGCGUCCUCAGGGGCGAUUGCACUCUCUGCCCCGACGCCGUCCGCCCUCGUCCUUACCCCGGAGCAGAUGACAGCCGCAAUCCUGGAGUUACGGCAGGCCGUGACGGGCAUCAGGGCCUUCCUCGUCAGGCCCUAUGUGCCCCAGCCGCAUCCCUAGCAGCCACCUCCGCCGCCGCCACACCAACAACAGCUACCCCCCCUCCCGCCGCUGCGACCACGACGCCCGUCAUAUCGUACCAGUAUGGGAUGCCCUACGACGGGACCGCGACGACCUCGUUCCCAUCAGUGUCGCUGCCGUCCCAGGGCGUCCCCAUUCAGCAGAUCAAGUUCCCGCCAUCACGGCUUCCGGCUUGGAUCGCUACCCGCCAGGUGUCAGCGGUAGUGAGGCUGCAGGCUGCUGCGCGCGGCCUCCUAGCGCGUCGGCGUGUGCGGGAGAUGCGUGGUCUGCAGCUGCCACUCCUUCAAAUUGCGCUUCGUUGCGCAAAGGACCUUGAUCUCAUCCGCUACGUCCGGGAUCUUGGGCAUGCGGUUUUCCCCACGGACGGCGGGCAUGUUGUUUUCCCCACGGGCAGCGACAUCAGCGGUUGGGAGGGCGCACCCCUCCUCGUCAUUCUCCAUCGAAAGCCCUCCACUCUCUCUAUGCGGUGCAGACCAACAGCCGUCCGGCGGGGAGAAGGCAUGGUGUCACCGACAGGAGCGCACCGCGUAGCACCACUGCGUUCCACCGCCGGCCGCCGUGAGGGCGCCUCUGCUAGUCGCUCUUGCGACCACUUCCAGGUGGCCAUACACAUACACUUCUUUUGUCCAGAUGGUGUUCAUGGGAUCCAGGUGGCUGCACACGUGCAUAUCCGACGUGUGGAUGGUGUCCACUUUAUGUUCAGGGGUCCAAAAUAAAGUGUCCUAGUCCAUUUCCGGUUGAGAGUAAUAAAACAAGCCGAUAUGUAAAAGGCUUGUUUUUAGGUGUCAGGUUUGUGUUGCGUCGAGUCAUGGUUAUAAGUCGGUUAGGUUGCAGCUCGAGGACAAGCUGCAUGUCCACCUGGAGUGUCCAGGUGGAGUGUAGUGUUAGAGUACGUAAUGGGCCUGGCCUGGCAGUAUAGCCCGUUAGUCUUAGGGUUAAUUAGAGAUAAGGGUCGCUUGCUGCUUGCUUAGGGGUCAAGUAAGUCUUGCUGGGGAGUCAAGUAAACCUUUCUACUCUCUCCGUCCCAAAAUUCUUGUCUUAAAUUUAUCUAAUACGGAUGUAUCAAGUCACAUUUUAGUAUUAGAUACAUCCAUAUCUAGACGAAUUUAAGACAAGAAUUUUGAGACGGAGAGAGUAUAUAAGAAGAGAAAAUGUAUCAAUAUAAUCAAGUAAGAAUUAAGAAGGAAAUCACUUCCAUCUUGUCCGACCGUGGGCAAAAGGCCCCCGGCCGGUCCUCUCACGCCCUUCUUUUAGCAGCGUCAUAACACUGGUGGUGGGAGUGAUGAUGCUUGUUGACAUUUGGCAGACACCACCGGCUCUAUGGACAGGGUAUGCCCAGUUGCCCACCACCUCCCGUGUAAUUUUCUUCUGUAGAACAUGAGUAAAAUAAAGCGGCCAAAGAGAAAGGACUGAGUACUGAGUAGUACAGAACUAAUUUGGCAACACGAUAUGCAAGUGCCCAAAUAUUGAAAUACGUACUCUAACACGAUAUGCAAGUGACCAAAUAUAUGUAUACUAAUAUAAAAAGAUCCAAAGUAGCUAGGCAGUCGAUGCCGGCACUUUGUCCCCUCGCUAAGCAGCAUGGGGCUAAAAAUAUGUCUGUGCUAAUACAGUUUCUCUUUACCCGAGUAAGGCAGUGGAUGCCGGCGCCUCCCGCCGUCUCGUCCUCCUCGUCUCCGGUCCCCGGCGAUCUCCUCGUUACAACGCCCCGCGGUGGCACCACAGCGAGAGAUCAUGGGUGGAGGAGAGGAUGCUCUCUUGGAGAGGAGCAGGGGAAGACCGAAGACGGAGGAAGGAAGGAUCCCGGCGAGCCGGCCGGCGUUCUCCGCGGAAGGGGAUCGGUACCCAGCUCACGGGAAGACAGACGAUGAGAGUGCCGCCAGCUCGAUGCGGUGUAUACUCGGCCCAUGUCCGGUUAAGGGUAGCGGGCCUUGCGAGUGAUUGUAGUAGGCCCACCCAAAUCCCCCUUCCGUUUCCCGCCAUGCGCGCCCGUGGAACUUGGCAUCCAUCCCGUUUUUUCCCUCAAAAAAUGAAAAAAACUUGGCAUCCCAUUUGGUCUGGCGCUUGCUGGCAAACUGGGGCUGAUUCCGAGUUUCAGCCUAUGGAGAGGAGAAGGUGAUGAGGAUCGGCUGGAGUGGCUGCGGUUAUAUUUGGUGAUUGUUCUCACAUGGCAUGCGGUUUUCCUCUCAUUCUGCUUGAGCACUGUCCUGGAGAAGACAGCUCUGUUCCUCAUCAACUGCCGCGCCAUGCGAGAAAAGACCCUGGUGGCACUGUGCCCAUGUUGCGAGCUACUCCCUCCGUUUCGAAUUACUUGUCUUAGAUUUGUCUAGAUACGGAGGUAUCUAACACUGAAAUAAGUCACCCUACUCAAGACUGUUUAGCAGCCACGAAGCCCCCGCCAUAGCCUCACCACGACUGUUUCGAAGAACAGCAGCCGCCGCACCCUUCUCAAAAUAAGCUGCCUCGACGUUUAGCUUCUACUCCCUCCGUUCCGAAUUACUUGUCUUAGAUUUGUCUAGAUACGGAGGUAUCUAGCAAUAAAAUAUUAGUAAGAAAGAUGUCAUUUGCUGAAGAAAAAAAAGGCAUUAUUUGAAUUAAAUUGAAAAAAACUGAUUUGCAAAUUCACAGUACUUGUUACGAUGCAUCGCUAUUGUACAUUUUACUUUUCUUUUAAUUCUUAGAAGCACAGCUGCAUUUUUUUUUAUGCCUCGAACGCACACCUCGAACGGAAAUAAAGGCAACCCAUGAUUUAAUAGCAAGGUACCCACUAAGGCCAUCUUUGCUAGGCGCUAAUCACGGUCACUAGUACUGAACGAAAACUAGGCCCAACGUUGCCCUCCAUAGCUAGUGCGAGAGGGGAAAGAAGGCAAGCGCCCAAUGCAUUAGUUGGCAUCGACACCAAACCCGGCGCUACGCCUUCCCUUGGCUCGCCGCAUUGUAGGUGAGGGCAUCUCCAGCACAGACCCCUACUCCGCCCUUAUAUGCAGGAUCGGACUGAAAUCCCUCAUUCCGUCCCCAAACAAAGGAGUCCACACAUGUACGCGGACAUACCACCAACACAACGACCCCACCACAAAGAUGUAGAGCUGACACUAUCCAAAGAUGUACUAGCACAUUUAUUAACCAUCAUCAUCUCUAGUCAACAACCACCAAGGAAACCUUUCCAAGUUACAGCCUUCAUAUAAACAAACAACAACAACGGUAUCAAUUCAUGCAUGUCUUCUAAUUACCCAUCCCCCAUUCUCUGAUUCUCUCCAUCUACUGUACAUACAACAGGCACCACCAUAAGCUCUCUACUUCUUUCUUUCUUCCUUUGCCGGGAAGCAUUCUCUUUCUUUCCUUCUGUUUUUGCUAGGAAACUCUCUCUUUCAUCAGCCGCCUCUCG
rnacentral:lncRNA from 1 species